UUCAGUUAUUAGGUUAACCUUUAAUGAAUAAUAUAUCAAUUUUAAAUCGUAAAAUUGAGGAAUAUAUGUAUGUCUUUUUUUCCAACAUACUUUGUCCAAGAGAUUCGAAGAUGUAAAUGUAAAUUUGCUAAAAUUUUUCUAUAUAGGUUUGAAUUUGUUUUUUCUAAUUUUGAAAAGAGGUAUUCAUCUAUCUAGGAAGAUUAAUCGGGUUCUUUCUUUAUUGUUAUUUUCUUUCAUCUCGAGUUUGAUGUGUUUAUUGAGGUCUUGAUUAAUUAAAAUACACAUUGCGUUUAAGGAAAAAAAUACUUUCUAACAAAAAAAGUUAAAAGUUACCUAUGAUGAAUCAUCUUACUUCAUAACUGUAUUUGACCGUUCAACUAAAAAUAGUUAUAUAUAACGGCUAGGCCUCGGGCCCACCACCAGAACCAUAGGUUAUAACACACCGAUUUGAAUCGAAAAUGAUCUGUUCGCGCCGUUUCACUCAUUUGACCACCCAAACAGUCUCUCCCACCCCAAAGGUCCACACUUCCCCUCUCCUCAGCCUGCCUGGGACCCCCAAAAAUUAUAUUAUUAAUUAUUAUAAUAAUUAAUAAUAUUGUACACGAUAUGAAUCUAAAUACUUUUAUUAUGCCUUUUCAGAAUUACCCAUAGAAGUUGUACAAUGAAAUAGUAUUACUAAUAAGCAUCAAUGAGUAAUAUAAUUCUAUAAUUUAACUAAGCAAUUUUCUCAUUAAUAAAGCAUUCCCUCAAUUUGACUUUUGCCUUCUUUGAACCCCUUGUGUGUAUAAUAUCACAACAUUCAAAUCUAUCCAUCUGAAAAAAAGAAAAAAGAAAAAAAUUAAUUAAUAUUUAUGUUUAAUAAUUGUAAGUCAAAAAGAAAUAUACAAAUCAUGGUAAAUUGUAAAUAGUUAAAUAUAACAUGUCAGUAUUUGAUGUUUAUAACAGAGCUUCGUAAAAAAUAAGGAAAAGAAACUUACCUCAGUACAUUUUGUUCUAGGAGAGCAGACUUGAAUCUUGUUGACACAAUUCACCGGAUGAUUGCCGCCGAACAAACAACCCGGCAACCGCCGCUCCGCCAACCGGGUGUACGUGCAGAGGCGAAGCCGGCCCUCUUUAGGGGUUCGUCCGAAAAAAUAUACUACUAUUAAACCUAUAAUACGGAGGUUUCAUAAGUGCUGUAACGCAAGAUUUAAAAACAACAAACAUAGUAUACUAUAAUAAGGUUAAAUUAUAUUAAUGACAUAAAAUUUUGUGUAUGUGUAUUGUCAGUGUUAUAAACGGACAGGAAUAAGCAAAAGAAAAAUAAGAAGAACACACACAUUUACGUGGAAAUUCUCGGCGGAAAAAAUCACGGGCAGAGGCAGAGGAAAUUCACUAUGAAGGAGAGGAAUACAAGGUGGAGACGACAGUCUCAAUUUCAUACGUGUAUAUGAAAACUGCCCGAAACAGUCCACCAAACGCACUUAUAUAGUAUGUGCAUACAAAUAAAUUCUAAGCCCAAAAACAUACGGCCCGAUCCUUCUGCUACCACCACAGACCCUAUGAAAAAUCACAACCAUGGGUCGCACCGCGAACUUUUCAAGGCCGAAUCAACAAAAUUCGGGUCGCAAACUCUAACAGUCAAUAUAUAUAACUCAAAUCCUGAUUUAACUAGCGUUUUCAACUUGCGCCCGUUAAUAUUUCUUAAGAAUCAAAGCAACAUAGAUGAAAUCUCACAUCUUCACCGAACAAAGAUAUGUAUAUAUCGGUCAACUCGAUAUAAGUAAAAUAAUAUUUUUGAAAAGUUCGAGCAAGAUUGAAGGUAAUUUUUUCCUAUAUUGCCAUGCAUUUUUAGAACCAAGUAAGCCAAAAAGUAAAUGGCUAAUAUUUGUGGGAUUUUUCAAGUGUUUAUUAUUAUUAUUAUAAGAUUCUAAUAAUAACUCAUAAGAUGAUGAACAAUUUGGAUGUUGAAAUAGAAAAAUUGAGGUUAAGUGAAAAGUAAACCUAAUAUUAGGACAAUUUUGCAAAGGUUGGACACAAGAUAUUUAUUAUGGUAAAUAAAUUAAUUUUAUUUUAAACAUAUAUAUAUAUAAUUAGCAUAUAAUUAGCUAUGAAAUUCAUCCUAACUAGCUCAUAGAAUAAUUCCAAAUCGAAUCCUAUUUAUUUAAUUUACUUAUAAAUUAUAGUUAUAAUGUUUCUUAAUCAGAAACAAAUUAAAUAUUUGACUUAAAUCACCAAUGGAUAUAGUGAGACAGACUGGAAUUCUUUUAUCAUUAAUUAAAAGUUUUAGGUCAAAACUUUAGAUAUAUAGAUUAUUGUUAUAGUGAUGCGGGAAUGAUCUACAAAGUGCUAAAAUAGUCCACAACACAAGGAAAAACCGAAAGCAAGAUAGAGAUAAGUCACAGUAACAACACAAAUACACGAGAUAAAGAAGACAAGAAUCAAACAAACAAAGUGAAAUAAGAUAAGGGAUAGGCAAGAUGACAUAAGAUCUUACGAAACAAUGAGAACCAACACGUGUAUUAAACGAAGAGACCCUCAAAGUCGCAAUAAUCAAACACCAAUCUUCUUACGGUGACCGCCAAGGGAAUCAACUUACCUCAAGAACCACCGUUUCUAAGCAAAUGUCAAUAUUGGCUUUUCCAAGCCCUAAACUGCAAUAGCUUUUCCAAGCCUUAACUAAGACUACACUAAGUUGUUCUACUCUCAAAGAGAGGACUUCCAAUGUUUCAAUAUUUCAUCAUUCAUAAAAACUAGUAAGAAAAGACCUAAAAGAGACUAUAUAUAGCCUAGCUUAUUACAUGGCGAAAUAACCAAGACACCCUUAAUGACCAAGGGGUGGCCUUGGUGUAUUGAAAAACACUAUGAAUUGUCCAAAAUGCCCUUAAGGCUAAGUGACCAAAAUGCCCUUAAUGAAGGGAGCCAAAACCGUGAACCAACAAAGUGUGGUCCAACCCAAGAGUCCUCAAGUCUUCAAGGGUCCAAGCAAUCUUUCACACUCGGGUUUGUCCAAUGGCAUGCUCAUAACGACCCCUCCAAGCAUGAUCCCGUGCUCUCCAUACGACCAAAGCUUGAUUCUUCACGUAGUGGCUUUGAAGGAUAUCAUCGAAAGCUAAAACAGCCAUUUGACUUGUAUCACAUAGGGAUUUAAAUAGUGAAAAUAAAAAAACUCUUAAUAAAUUUCCUUAAUUAAAACCAAGUCCUAACUACAUACGUAUCUAGAAAGGUAAACAAAGUAGCUACUGUCAGUGUCAUUACUAAUGAGAUCCAAAUAGAUUUUGUUUAGCCCGAGAAAUUGUUCUUUGCUCAAAUUUACAGUUUAUGAAACCUUGUAAUACAAGUUCUUUCCUCUAACGAUGGCUACUUCCUAUUCAAGUGCCACUUAUCUUAACACAACUCGGGCUAAUCUACUCCGAGCCUAGCUAGACCUGGUGAAAGCAAUCAAGCCAAAGCCCCUCCUUUCCGGUCCGGCAUCAGUACGACACCUGAACUCGAAGCUACGGUCAGAUCCGAUUGGAUCUGGUCCUAUCUGACCCAACCCCGAAACUUAGAACGGCCGGCUUGUUUGGACGAUAGAACGGGGAGAGGGGAAGUCGUGUUUAUUCUCUAUCCGGGCAUUCUCGAUCGAACAAAAGCCGUUUGAUCCCAUAUUAAAACGCGUACUCUUCGUGGUCGUCCCUCAGCCUCCCGCACCCAUAUUCCUAAACAUCUCUUAGAGGAAAAUAAGGAUAGCUAGUCACGGAUAAUUUUCUCACCUACAUGGUAUACGAAUCUAAGACUUCCUAGCUAGAGGCUAGACGGUGUGGUAAAGGAUCUCGCUCGAAAGAGACUCUUCACCUACUCAAUUGGAAUGACUCUUACCCUUACUUAUCUCUCGAAUCCUUCCUUAGUUUUGUACUUAUGAAGUUUUGAAUCUCGAGCAAAAUUUUGAACCCCAUGAAUCGUUUAAAUUAAAUAUUUUAGAACUUUGUUAAGAAACUCAAAUUUUCAUAUUAAUAAAUAAAGUUUUUAUAAUAAAAUUCAAGGUAAUGCAUUACAAAUAAAUGACUAAUAUCUUAUUAAUUAAAGCUAGUCCUUCCUUUUAUAAAUAGUAUCAUUACUAUGUGAAGUUAAAUUCUCAAUGUCUUAUAAAAAUACUACAUUAAAAAAGUAGUACAUAAAAACAACAAAAAUAGAAUUUUGUUAUGUGCAUAUAUCUAAGUCUCGUGUUAAUAUAGGUUUAGGCCACUAAUUUUAUUGAGACGGUCUCGAAAGAAAAUUUGGAAUACAAUGUCAUUCUUUUCCGUAAAGAGAAAAAAAGAAGUCGUGUUCUUCGUAGAUUCAUGGUGAAGACACUGCGUUUAAAGGUACAUGUUGUGAAUCAACACGAACAGUUUUCUCGGGUUCUCAAAAAAGUGAAAUAGAGUAUAAUUGACUUUGCAUCAUACUACUCAUUCUACUAAUUAUCUAAAAGAUUAAAGAAAAUUUUACUCAGGGCUCUGUGUGACAUAAUCUCAGCAGGGGAUCGGACUUGGUUCAAAGAGUGCAGUUAUAAAAGUCAGAGUCAGCUUGAUCAUAAUUGACACAAGUGUUGGACUAGCACGAGAUAUGAGUCGUGUUAUGGCUGAGUUCAGAAAGGACUUUACAGGUAUGGGUCCCUCGAGUUGUUGGACUCGAUAAACCAGGCUUAGACAAAGAUAACCUAACAACAACGUACCCACCUUCAACUGAUAUAAUAAUAACGUAUCUAGUAAAAUCCCAAAAUUUAUAAAUCAAGCUUCGAUGAGGAUAAGCUUACGGUUAGAUUUUCGAUUUAACGAUAAGAAAAUGCUCAUAAAACAAAUAUCAAUUUGACGCAAUGAUUUUCAACGUUCAUGACAUAUGUCUUGCAGUGCUAAAUUCCACAAAACAAAAAAUCCACUAUCCUAUCCAGUUGUCGUCGCAGACACUUGCCGGCGUUUAUCAGAGAAGAAAUUGAAAAGGUUUACCGAUGGUUUACCAGAGAAGAAAUUGAAAAGGUUUAACUUUAUCGGGUAACAUAUGUCUUGCAGUGCUAAAUUCCACAAAACAAAAAAUCCACUAUCCUAUCCAGUUGUCGUCGCAGACACUUGCCGGCGUUUACCAGAGAAGAAAUUGAAAAGGUUUACCGAUGGUUUACCAGAGAAGAAAUUGAAAAGGUUUAACUUUAUCGGGUAAUAGGUUUUCAGAAGAUUGAAUAGAUUUGUAGAAAUUAAAGAUAUAUAGGUAAUCAAUUUACCAAUAACCCAAUAAAAAAAAAAAAAAUCGAACCAAUAAUCCGAUAAAAAAAAUUAUAAAACCAUUAAAAAUCUAUUAACCUAAUAACCCAAUAACAAUAAAUAUAUUUUUAUCGAUUUAAUUUAUUAGUUGAUUCGAUUUUCGCACACCCUGAUACAGAGAGUGAGAAAUAAGAUUUUUCAAGCUAGAAUGGAUUACUACAUACCAAAACUCCUCAAGUCUAAUUAGCUUUCUUAAAACCAUGAAAUGCAUACAGAGAGAUUUACUUUAAUAUGCUUUAGAGAAAAAUACCUAUACUUUGACGAAAUUUGCAGUUACGCAUACAGAUACUUGCGGGAGUCCUAUGACCCACCAGACUAUUUUUUACCAUAUUUAACCGGCAUAUAUUUGUAUUGAGCGUGUGAGAAAAAAAAAUGUUUGAUAAGGGGCAAAUAUAUGUCCGUUAAAUACGAUAAAAAAUAGUCUAGGGGAGUCAUAAGACCCCCGCAAAGUUCAGGGUGCGUAACUGCAAAUUUCGCCUAAGUACAGUUAUUUUUCGCACAUUUUUCCUUAUGUUUCAUUGUAACUUAAUGCAUUGUUGGACCUUGAAGCACCAGUAAUGAACUAAAGAAAAACAAGACAGUGAAUUAAAAUGGCAAUUGGUACAACAAUGAUAAAUUUUCCUCAUUACAAAAUCCAUAACUCCGUAAGCUAUCGUUCUCAUUUCUAAAAUCUGAGCACCAGUUAUGGCCUCGAUGGAUCAUCGCUAAACCAAGUAUCAUAGUAUUGUACCAGCUAUGGCCUCGAUGGAUCAUCGCUAAGCCAAGUUAACAUAGUAUUGUAAGUCUAAAUGAAGUCGAAAAUGUAAGUUCUUAAAAGGGAUAGUAGUUUCCUAAUACUGGCUUUGCUCAUCCAAAAUACUCGAACAGCCUCCAAGCUAUCCAUCUCCGAUAAGCUUGUUGGAAGCAAUGUUCGUAUUUAGAAAAAAUUGGCAACUACAACAAGUGAGUUCCGGAGCAAAAUAUAAAGAAGUUAAUUACUCUUCUUGAAAAAAUACGCGAAUAGAUCAAUCGCCAGUUUUUGUGUCCAUUGAGGUCAAUGGUGGCAUUCCCAAGCAGGCCUAACCGGAGUGGUCACAGUUCAUCAUGGCCUUGUGGUUGCUCUCUAUUCAUCGUCUCUAGUUUAUUUUGUAGUUCCUAUAACGUAAAAUUAUUUCAUCGUUAAGUAGUUGAUGUGAUAGGAGAAAGACGUAUUAGAAGAAGCAUCGUAGGGGGUGUGCCGGGGUGGGGAUCAAUAUGAGCGGAAAGUACCUUCAGCUUUUCUUCCAGACAAAGUGCCGGUGUAGCCAAAAACGCUAAAUAUCUGCCAUAACAAACUACGAGUCAGCUAAAAGUGCACAAGAAUCCACUUAACACACAACGAAUGCAAAAUUCUGUGUAUACACACACAGAUAAAUGCUUACUCGCAUCGGCUUGGUUCAUCGAUAUCAGUUACCUCGUUUUUCAAACCACACCUUAAUUUGACCUGUACAACUCAAAAACAAUUUAGAGAGCAAAGAGGAAGCUAAGAAGAAUAGUGUAGAUACAGCGACAAUCAAAUUAGUCAGGUAUCUUCACCUUUAAACUUCUAUCUGGUCCGUUCCAACAAUGGUCACCACUUGUAAAUAGCAUGGUUCUGUACGAAUCCUCAAAUUUAUCCCAGUUCCUUUGAUGACACAUAGGAGAAAGAAAAAGAAAAAGGUAUAAUGAGUUCUGAACUUAGAACACUCAGGUAGAACAUAACAAUCUCGAAGAGGAAUCCAGAUCAUAAUUUUACAUGUCGAACCUACAAUGAUGUAAAGCCAUCCUCUUCUUUUUAUGACCGAAAAAUCCCAAGGGACUCUGAAAUAGAUGGAUAUUAGCCCCCCACAUGCACAUUCACAUGCAUCUAACCUACACAUCAACACCCACAUGUGCAUUCUUACCACUAGACCAAAACCCCCUACCUUUAUCCGGGAUUUGAACCCAUGACAUACACUUAACCCAACAGUUACUUUUUGUGCUUUUACCAUUAGACCAAAAUCAUAGAAAUUGUGUUUCACUAGCCAGCUUUAUGUAUAAGCUGUCAUGAAUAUCUAAUAUUUAUGAGGAAAAUAAAGUGCAGAAACUCUAAAUAGUGAAAGUAUAUUUGCAGCUAUGUUGCUCGAACUCUUCAAAAUGUCAUCUGGUGCGUGUUGGAUCCUUCAAAAGUAGUGCAUUUCUGAAGGAUCCGACACGGUUGCGGCCACAUUUUUGGAGAGUCUGAGCAACUUAGAUUUGCAGUGCAACUGUACAAGUCAUGUUUGUCUGCUACUUUAAAGACAAUCAACUAUAAUUCACGAUGCCGGACUCAGAUAAUGCAUGUUUAAGAUGUUAAAGAACCAACCCCAAACGAGUUGUACUGUAGCCCUCAACUUGGGAAGCUUGUUUGAAAGGGCAAAUCUUGUAUGUGUACCUGAAGUAUAAACAUUUGUUAGUUUCCGCUAAAGAAUAACUUAGUAAAGAUAUUCCUAAAAAGUAAAACGUUAACUAAAACUUAGAUUAACAAGAUAAUGGAAGAUUUAUCACUUGUUCUCCUUGCUCUCGAAACAUUGACCAUGGAAUGAAUAGAAUUCCUUCUCCCGUCCUGCAACAGACUACUGGUUCAGCAAUAAGCAUUGCGAGAUCAUUCACCUUCUUAGAGAAGGUAUGUUAUAGAAGAAUGUUAAUAAAAACAAGCACGUGAAUUUCUAUACCAAAAUCUUGUUUCAACUUUUGCUUCAAGCUAGAUAGCUUUGAUUCGAUUUUUGUCAACUUAGCACUCGCCUCAUCGUACUCUUUGCGUAUGCUGUCAGCAUCUAUGAGAGCAAAAACGAAACACCAUACAUCAUUUUCCUUCUCAUUAGACUUUUCUUUUCUUCUCAUUAAAAAUAAAGAGCAGAAAAUUGGAUGAAACCUCAGUUACUACCAGAAAUGUUCACUGGAGUGCGGAACAAAUUGACAGACCGCAAAAUUCUCUUUACAGUUUGUUGUAUCUUCUCCGUCCACGAAGGACUAGUUGUGGUUGUGGUAUCUGAAUAAUUAAAAUAUAAUCAAUUAAAUAGUACUAGCUGUAAGCAUCAAAUGCAAUAGAAUUAUUUUCCUGCAUACCUGCAAAAUCAGAAUCAUCAUCAGAAUCAGAAUCGGACUUAUGAGAACUUGAAUCAUGGUCCUCUCCAGCAAAAUCAUCGACUUGGUCCUCGCUGUCAUCAUCGUCAUACUUGUGUUCAUCAUCAUCACCAUACUUGCGGUCAUCAACAUCAGAAUCAUAUCCAGGAUGCUCCUCUUCAUGGUUAUCAGAUAGCGCCUCAUCAUGGUCGCUAUCUGUACCAGCACCAACUGACUCAGUUUCCUUUUCGCUCUUUUUUCCUAACCAACGAGAACCAACCACACGACCUAACUCUUCGUUUGACAGUGACUCUGUAUUUUCAGUUGCAUCUUUCUCCUAAAAACAUAAAAAUGAGUCACGGAUUAAGGUUGUUAACAUCGUUGAACAAAAUCUGCGACCAUUAUUCUCAUACCACCUUAGUACACAAAGCAGAUAUACAUGAGCACUAAAAUUAGGUCUCUCUAAUGCACUAGAAUUCGGUACAUGCAAUUACUCCAAAGCUACAGUAAAAACAAAUUAUACAACCUUACUCUAGCGCCCCUCAAUCCCAUAUGUAUUACUCAGUCAAGCCCUUAACUACUUCUAGUGCUAUCCAUCCAACAGUGACAAGUUCCAUAUGCUUUUUAGCCCUUUGCACAUGAAAUACCAACAUAUAACCACAAUCAAGAAUGAACAGGAAAAAAGAUCUUGUAUAACCACUACAACACCCACCCACCCCUUCCCCCGGGGCAGGUUUCCACCUUUUGUUGGGAACUUUGCCUUGGACGGGACUUGGGUCUCAAGAUUUUUCUUUUUAAACGUACAAAUACUAUAGAAGUACACUAGGAAUUUCACUUCUGGUGCAGGUUCCUAAGAUCACCGGUUUAACCUCCUCAUGCUACUCUGACUGACCUAAAUAUCGGUCCAAUUGCAUUAAAGAUCUCCCAGUUUCAAAAAAAAUGCAUUAAAGAUCUUAUGCUCAUGAAGAACUGAAAUGUGUAGCUUGACCUGGCUUUGAGCAUAACUCAAAACUGGAAAGUUGUUCAAUUGUUAGAGAAAAGUGUGUAAUAAACACAUUUCAUCAUUGAAAUAGCAGAAUAUGCACUCCAAUUCAUAGUUGACGAAUGAUCAAGACACUAUAUACCUACUACACAAUGACAGGUCUACCUCAUCCCAAACAAAUUGUGCAAAGCAAUGUGCCUUUGGAUAGAGACUUGUAAGUACUUAUUAAAUGAUCACAAACUGCUAAAAAUUUGUUUAUCGCAGUAAUGCAAGUUAUUCAGGAAUCCACACUAAAAAAAUGACCUCCACGUUGUGAACCUCAACUUCAUUCAACCACCACCUUUUCCUAGAACUUCACCACAUAUUAGCAUAUUAAAUUACACUGCUCUAAUUAUAGUUCAAAACUUUAUUAAAAAAUUAAAAAAAAAAAAAUGUACACUGCUUCUGGAGAAACUUAUCAGAAGCAAGAAUUUCAUAUUAGAUUGAAAGAAAUUAGGUCAAACCAAUUGAAAUAAUUACAUAGCUCCCAACAUAGACAAAAAAGAGUGAAGAUAGAGAUAGAGCAAAAGAGGAGUUUUAAAUCAAUAAUAGUACCUCAUUUCCACUACUAACAUCAGCUUUAUUAUUGUUAGGGGCCGGCUCUUCUUUUAUUUCAGGAUGCUGUACAAAAUGAGAUGCUGGUUAAUCAUGAUAAACCCCAAAUACUUUUUACAAUUUCAUAUGGGAUGGAACUUGAACUUCUCAAGGACAACAAACCUGAGAAGAUUCUUUGGGCACCUGCUCUGCCUCGUCUACAGGAAACUCAUCGUUCACGGAAUGGUCACUAUGCUGUUCUUCAUCUGCAGCUUUGUCAUGGCCUUCUACCGCAUCCUGAUAUAAAUAAAUAUAUUACAUAAGUACUAGAUCAACAACAAAAACACAUAAAGGAACUAGAUCAACAACAAAAACACAUAAAGGAGAUUUUAUUUUUGACCAGAAAAGAAACAUACAAGAGAAUUUACAGCACUAAAUUUGGAGAUAAUUUAUAUUGUUGAUAUACGAACAUUUAAAGUCAAUUCCGCAUUUACUAAUAGACCAUAUCUUCAUGCUCAAGGUCAUUUAAAUCUCCAGAAGCAUGCACAGUUCUAAAUCUCUCGGGAAGUGAAAAGUUUUAUUUCAAAACAAAAAUAGUACUCCUCCCUGGAGCCAAAUUUGCACAUCCCACAAUGAAUUACGGAAUUUUAUCAAAAAGAAAAGUACAAGGCAUAAUAGGGCAUAACACUUCUCAGUCACAAAAACCAAAUUAAUUAUGCUGCAUAUCCUUGUGAAAGAGAAUUCUAAAAUAGAUUCACCACUAAAAAUAGAGAAACAUUAGGAUCUCUGGAACCAUAAAAAUGCAUUUGUCUGAGCAGUUCUGCACUUUUAUGGACCCACGACUAAGUAAAUCCUUAACAUUUAAGGGAACAGCGCUUUCCCAAGUAAAAUAAGGCAAAAGGGCUAAGAAACCUACAAAAAGAAGAGGUGAGAGUAUAAAGAAAUCAAGAAUUACAAGCAUGAAAAAAAAACUUCAAAUAUGAAGAUCUCCAGAAGCCGCAAAUGUAAGUUGCGAAAAGAAGCCUUCUUUUGAAAUGUGAAUACAAUACCUUUACUUAUUCUAAGAGCUAAUGAUGCAGUGUGAGGCUACAUAAUCAUUCAUAAGAAAGAAAAUUGUGGCAUCCCUAGGCGAACGUUUCCACUAAACAUAUAGCAUUGAUUUUCACUUUCAAGGACACAAGGCAUGAACGAAUGACGUAUUGGGGAAAUCACUUGACUUUCUUAAGCCAUACUUGCUUCAGACCACUUAGAAUCUCCAUAAAACAUCCAUGUUGCCUUUCACUUUUAAGGCCAGAAGGAAUGAAUGAGGGAUUGAUAGAGGAGAGGAAGUAACUUAAUUUCUGUUAAGUCGUAUGUAAUUUAGAUCACAUCAGUUUUCCUGGUCUUUUUUUAAGCAUGGGGAGAAUUUGAAACCCUCCUCCUUCUAGUAAACAUUUCUAUAGAAGAAUCAAGUAAAGGUACCAAAUUAUAUACCCACGAAAAAGCAUUAAUUUCUAAAAUCGUAAAGAUGUUUUGAUAGAUUGGACUUCUAAAAAGCCAAAAACAAUGGUCGACUUAGAAUGCGACAUAGAUGUGGAGAAUCAAAUGCCUAAAACAUGUGAAGGAAAAAAAUGUCUAUAGACCAAAUCUCUUUUCCCAAGUUCCACUAUCUACUUCCAUAAAAUAUUCUGAUACCCUUACCUACUUUUGUAAGUGUUUAACAUCACCUAAUAAUGUAAUAGCUAUAAAGAUAAGCAAUUAACCUUUACGGAAGGAGAGUCUUCCAAAAGGCCAAUCUUAUCAUGGAUGCCAGUCUUCACAGCUUCUUCUUGAACAUCAGUUUUCUCCUCAGCUUUGCUUGGCUCUUGCUUAGCAUCAUCAGCUUCCUUUCGAGCUUUCUCUUCCUUUUCUUUCUUUAACCGUUCGUCCUCCUCAGCCUUCUCUAUUGCUUCUUUUUUCUCUAGAUAAAGCGAAGUGAAACUUAUAAGAAAUGAUUACAAGCAAAUUGUCGAAAUCUUGCUUGGAGAGAAUCAGACAUUAGUGCAUGAAAUAUCAAAAACUACACAACCAUUGGACUUUUCUCACGUCACUUGUAGAAAAUGAAUAACAAAUAAAGUGACAAGGAUAAUAACAAUAACUAAUCUGGACGGUUGCUCUACUUGACAUAGGUGAAAAUACCUUAUUGAACAUAAUAACAGCCUUCUAAUUUCUACAAGGUCUCCGAUAAGUGAACCUUUAGGUGUCUACUCAGAAUAUUCCCUAUAAUUAACAAGUAAGAUAUGUAUAAUGAACAGUUUUAGUCUUUUUGAAAAUUGUUCUCUAUGGUCAAAAUCAAUCGUGAUACAUGAUACAAGUCAAAUGGCCGCCUUAGCUUUCGAUGAUAUCCUUCAAAGUCACUACAUGAAGAAUCAAGCUUUGGUCAUAUGGAGGGCACGGGAUCAUGCUUGGAGGGGUCGUUAUGAGCAUGCCAUUGGACAAACCCGAGUGUGAAAGAUUGCUUGGACCCUUGAAGACUUGAGGACUCUUAGGUUGGACCACACUUUGUUGGUUCACGGUUUUGGCUCCCUUCAUUAAGGGCAUUUUGGUCACUUAGCCUUACGGGCAUUUUGGACAAUUCAUAGUGUUUUCCAAUACACCAAGGCCACCCCUUGGUCAUUAAGGGUGUCUUGGUCAUUUUGCCAUGUAAUAAUCUAGGCUAUAUAUAGUCUCCUUUAGGUCUUUUCUUACUAGUUUUUAUGAAUGAUGAAAUAUUGAAACAUUGAAAGUCCUCUCUUUGAGAGUAGAACAACUUAGUGUAGUCUUAGUUAAGGCUUGGAAAAGCUAUUGUAGUUUAGGGCUUGGAAAAGCCAAUAUUGACAUUUGCUUAGAAACGGUGGUUCUUGAGGUGAGUUGAUUCCCUUAGCGGUCACCGUAAGAAGAUUGGUGUUUGAUUAUUGCGACUUUGAGGGUCUCUUCGUUUAAUACACGUGUUGGUUCUCAUUGUUUCGUAAGAUCUUAUGUCAUCUUGCCUAUCCCUUAUCUUAUUUCACUUUGUAUGUUUGUAUCUUGUCUUCUUUAUCUCGUGUAUUUACGUUGUUGCCGUGACUUGUCUCUAUCUUGCUCUCGGUUUCUCCUUGUGUUGUGGACUGUUUUAGCACUUCGUAGAUCGUUCCCGUAUCAAUACAGUAUGUGUUUUAUCUGGUGGAGUAGCCUUGUGGAGAUGUACUAUAUAGAUACCAGAGUAUGUUCUUGGAAACAAAUGGAGAUGACUUCUUGGGUUAUGCAUUUUCGCCACAUUUAAUAUCUUUUCCCAAUAAAUGGAACCAGUUGUUAAUCAUACAAGGGAGCAGAGAGCAGAGAACGCGAGUUGUAUAGAACCUCAUAUUCAGGAAAUCGCAGCAUUGUGAGAUGGUAUAUCUUCAAAACUUACUUGAGCUCUUAUACAGGGAAAAGAUAUCAAUGAUGUACAGAGACUAUUGAACGGGGCUGGAAAGAGAAAUGGUUUCUUCACAUUAAGAUCGGCCUAUAAGAGAGCUUGAGAAGGGGAAACAAUGAUUUUCCUUGUACUUUUUGUGGAUUCAUGAAGAACCAAAGAAGGUGUGUUUCUUUGCGAGGCUGGAAGUACAACAAAAAAAACCCAGUAUAGUCCUCCAGCUGUUAGGCUGGCAGUAUGGAGGCAAUUCUUUUAGCAUGGGUUCCUAAAGAACAUGUUAUGCCAAAAAAAAAAAAUUCUCCAAGUUAGGAAUGUCGUAGCAUAUAAAAGAGGAAAGAUAGGAAAUGAAAUCCAUCCUCUUUUCUACUUAUGCUUGUUUCAUUUUGUACCAUAACAUAGAAAAUACUAAUAUCAGAAGGAACCAUUUUGAAAGAGAUAUGCAAAGCGACCCCAUUCUAGAGUACUAGUUUCAUCAAGUUGGAAUGAUAAUUCUCUAAUGUACAUUUUUACUUGAGCGGAAGAGAACUUACCUCUAAGCUGCUCAACCCGCGCUUUAAGUACCUUCUCCUCAUUUUUCAGCUUAGAGAUUUCAGCUUCCUCUUUUGCUAUUGCAAGUUUAGCUUCUUCAAUUUCCUUCCUCCUUACAGUUAUACCUUCUUGAAAUGUUGCAAUCUUUUUCUUCAAUUUAUCUCUAGCAACUUUACCGACCUCCCAACAUGUAUUUGGGCACUUAACUUUACCAUCAUACUCGUCACUCCCAUCGCAACAAUCUGCUCGUUUGUGCCAUUAAGAAAAAAGUAAACCAACAAUGUUAAGAAACAUGUAAUAUGCAUCAAUAAGAUUUAAUCGACAGGAAAAGACUUUCAACGAUAGUCCAAAGGCAAUGGAAAUCAUUCUACAAUGGCUAUUUAUCUAAGAAGUAAUAUCCUAUACUGACAAUGAAUUCUUCAAGAACCGAAACUUUAUGAAACUCAGCUUGUCCUGAAUAUGAAUGAUACAUGUUGUGCAAAAGUUUUUGUUCAAAUAUCUUCUUCGUUACCAAAGAUGCACUAUUGCAGAUCACACUUAGCACUGUGAUGUCGAUAAAGAUGUUAAUUAGACACUAUACAGAAAGGCAAGAACGCGAUGAUUCAUACCACAAAUGCCAUCAUUAACCCUUGAUGAGUAUAUGAAUUGAGGAACAUGUCCUGCAUUUUUGCAAUAAAACUUCCCGUUGGGGCAUGCCGAAGUUCCUGCAAACCAAUCACCAAGGACAAACAACUUUCAAAAAGAUGCACACAUUAUACUUAUAGGCAGAAAAGAAAGGCAAAAAAAUGUUCAACACAAAAUGAAACUCUAACAUACUUUUGUCUCUGCUGCGAAAAUAAACCCUUAAUUUUCUAAAAAGACUAGUUAUUAGUACAACAACAACAAACCCGGAGUAAUCCCACAAGUUAGGUCUGGGGCUAAAUGACUAGUUAUUAGCAUUCGAAAGAAAUGAGUCCAAUAGGGCAUAAUGUAUAUAGAGGAUUCAAAUAGUCAAACCCAACUAUGGUGUUCCGGACCUAAAAUACACAACAACAACAAACCCAGUGUAUUCCCACCUGGUGGGGUCUGGGGGGUAGGAUGUACGCAGUCCAUCCCUCUACCUCUACCUCUGAAGAAGUAGAAAGGCUGUUUCCGAUAGACCCCCGGCUCAAGACACGCGGUACCACACAAACACAUAGUAAAGCACAGCACAAGGUUACAAGAUUACAUAACAUAAAUACGGCACCCAUAAGUAAUAUAAAACAGAGGAAAGCACACAGGUUCACAAUAAAACAUGGGACACGGACUCCUAACAGGAAUAAACCCCCACCAAGUAGUUCCCUAUACUAGCGACUCAGACUGGCCCUAGUCCACUGCCCUGAUUCGCGUCCUCCAGACCUUCCUAUCUAGGGUCAUGUCCUCGGUGAGCUGUAACUGCUCCAUGUCUCGCCUAAUCACCUCAUCCCAGUACUUCUUCGGCCUACCUCUCCCCCGCUUAAAACCAUCCAACGCUAGCCUCUCCCACCUACGGACCGGGGCAUCCAUGCCCCUCCUCUUCACGUGUCCGAACCAUCUCAAUCGGGCUUCCCGCAUCUUGCACUCCACUGGUGUCACACCAACCUUCUCCCGGAUGUUCUCAUUCCGAACUCUAUCCCCUCUAGUCAGCCCACACAUCCAGCGCAACAUCCGCAUUUCUGCCACCCUCAUCUUCUGGAUGUGGGAGUUCUUAACUGGCCAACACUCCGCUCCAUACAACAUGGCCGGACGGACUACCGCCCUGUAGAAUUUGCCUUUAAGCUUAGGCGGCACCUUCUUAUCACACAGCACCCCUGACGCGAGCUUCCACUUCAUCCAUCCCGCCCCAAUACGGUGCGAGACAUCCUCAUCAAUCUCACCGUUACUCUGGAUCACGGACCCGAGAUACUUGAAACUCUCCCUCUUACCUACCUCCUGUGAUUCCAGCUUCACUACUACCUCGUUCUCCCUCCUCAUGUCAUUAAACUUGCAUUCCACAUACUCUGUCUUGCUUCUGCUCACCCUGAACCCUUUAUACUCAAGGGUUUGCCUCCACACCUCUAAUUUGUCGCUCACACCCUCUCGGGUCUCAGCUAUCAGAACUACAUCGUCUGCAAAAAGCAUACACCACGGCACCUCCCCUUGAAUACGCCGCGUCAACACAUCCAUUACCACUGCAAACAAAAAGGGACUAAGAGUAGAUCCCUGAUGCAACCCUGUCCGGACCGUGAAAUGUUCUGAGUCUCCUCCCGCCGUCCUCACCUUAGUUUUCGCUCCAUCAUACAUAUCCUUGAUUGCUCUGAUGUAUGCCAGCGGUACUCCCCUCACCUCCAAGCAUCUCCAAAGCACCUCCCUAGGGACUUUGUCGUAGGCCUUCUCCAGGUCGAUAAACACCAUGUGCAGGUCCUUCUUCCUCUCCCUAUACUGUUCCACCAACCUCCGUACCAGGUGAAUUGCCUCCGUCGUCGAGCGGCCAGGCAUAAAUCCAAACUGGUUUUCUGAAAUAGACACUAUCCGUCUCAGCCUCACCUCGACCACUCUCUCCCAGAUCUUCAUAGAGUGACUCAAUAACUUAAUCCCCCUAUAGUUGUUGCAACUCUGGAUGUCCCCCUUAUUCUUAUAAAGAGGUAUCAUGGUGCUCCACCUCCAAGCCUCGGGCAUCUUUGCCGUCUUGAAGAUUUCAUUAAACAAUUCCGUCAACCACCUAAGACCAGUCUCUCCAACGAACUUCCAAAAUUCGACCGGUAUCUCACCGGCCCCGUCGCCCUACCCCUUCGCAUUCUGCGAACAGCCUGUCUAACCUCUUCUACCUUAAAACGUCUACAAUAGCUAAAAUCCCGACACUCCUCUGAGUGCUCCAGUUCCCCUAACAAAAUAGCUCUAUCCCCUUCGUCCUUCAAGAGCCUAUGAAAGUAUGACUGCUAUCUAUUCUUAAUGUGGCCGUCCUCCACCAACACUCUACCGUCCUCCCCCUUAAUGCACCUCACCUGAUCGAGGUCACGACCCUUCCUCUCCCUAGCCUUAGCGAGUCUAAACAACUUUUUCUCCCCUCCUUCCCCCUGUAACCCUGCAUACAAGCUCUCAAAAGCGGCCGUCUUAGCUGCCGUGACCGCUGACUUCGCCUCCUUCCUCGCUAGCUUGUACUCUUUCCUGUUUACCCGCUUCUCUUCUUCGUCCUUACUUUCCACCAACUUAGCAUACGCCUCUUUCUUGGUCUCCACUUUCUUCCCCACCUCUUCAUUCCACCACCAAUCCCCCCGAUGGUGACCGGCCCGGCCCCUAGAAACACCCAACACCUCCCUUGCAUUCUCCCUGAUGCACGUUGCCGCCCUGUCCCACAUAUUAUCCACAUCCCCCCUACACUCCCACACCCCCAUUCCCGCCAACCUCUCCCCUAUCUCCCACGCAUUCACUGGCGUCAAACCGCCCCACUUAAUUCUCGGUCUACACUCCUUACUCCUCCUCUUUUUAUUCUUCUUCAUACCCAAAUCCAUAACCAAGAGCCUAUGUUGGGUCGAAAGAUUCUCACUCGGGAUGACUUUACAGUCUUUACACAACGCCCUAUCCCCUUUCCUAAGCAACAAAAAGUCAAUCUGGGUCCUGGCUAUCGCGCUCCGAAAAGUGAUCAGGUGCUCGUCCUUCUUCGGGAAGCCCGAGUUCACCACCACCAGCCCAAACGCCCUCGCAAACUCCAAUAGGGUCGCCCCCUCUUCAUUUCUCUCCCCAAAACCAAAACCACCAUGCACAUCCCCAAAGCCUCCCGGUAGCGCCCCGAUGUGCCCGUUGAAAUCCCCUGCUACCACAAUCUUCUCCGAACUGGGCACGCCUCUCACCACGUCCUCCAAGGCCUCCCAGAACCGCAUCUUCUCCUCCCCCUCCGAUCCCACAUGCGGCGCAUAGGCACUACACACGUUCAGGGUAAACCCCCGAAUGACCAACUUGAUAGUCAUCAACCUAUCGUUGAUCCUCUUCACCUCCACUACCUGACCUCUAAGCUCUUCAUCUACCAAGAUGCCAACUCCAUUCCUACGCCUGUCGCUCCCAGAGUACCACAGCUUGUAACCGUCCACAUCCCUAGCCUUAGACCCUACCCACUUGGUCUCUUGGACACACGCAAGGUUGAUCCUUCUCUUCCUAAGAAUCUUCACCAGCUCUAUGGACUUCCCCUGAAGGGUCCCUAUAUUCCAAGACCCAACCCUCAGCCUACCGUCGCUAUCCACGCGCCCCCCACUNNNNNNNNNNNNNNNNNNNNNNNNNNNNNNNNNNNNNNNNNNNNNNNNNNNNNNNNNNNNNNNNNNNNNNNNNNNNNNNNNNNNNNNNNNNNNNNNNNNNNNNNNNNNNNNNNNNNNNNNNNNNNNNNNNNNNNNNNNNNNNNNNNNNNNNNNNNNNNNNNNNNNNNNNNNNNNNNNNNNNNNNNNNNNNNNNNNNNNNNNNNNNNNNNNNNNNNNNNNNNNNNNNNNNNNNNNNNNNNNNNNNNNNNNNNNNNNNNNNNNNNNNNNNNNNNNNNNNNNNNNNNNNNNNNNNNNNNNNNNNNNNNNNNNNNNNNNNNNNNNNNNNNNNNNNNNNNNNNNNNNNNNNNNNNNNNNNNNNNNNNNNNNNNNNNNNNNNNNNNNNNNNNNNNNNNNNNNNNNNNNNNNNNNNNNNNNNNNNNNNNNNNNNNNNNNNNNNNNNNNNNNNNNNNNNNNNNNNNNNNNNNNNNNNNNNNNNNNNNNNNNNNNNNNNNNNNNNNNNNNNNNNNNNNNNNNNNNNNNNNNNNNNNNNNNNNNNNNNNNNNNNNNNNNNNNNNNNNNNNNNNNNNNNNNNNNNNNNNNNNNNNNNNNNNNNNNNNNNNNNNNNNNNNNNNNNNNNNNNNNNNNNNNNNNNNNNNNNNNNNNNNNNNNNNNNNNNNNNNNNNNNNNNNNNNNNNNNNNNNNNNNNNNNNNNNNNNNNNNNNNNNNNNNNNNNNNNNNNNNNNNNNNNNNNNNNNNNNNNNNNNNNNNNNNNNNNNNNNNNNNNNNNNNNNNNNNNNNNNNNNNNNNNNNNNNNNNNNNNNNNNNNNNNNNNNNNNNNNNNNNNNNNNNNNNNNNNNNNNNNNNNNNNNNNNNNNNNNNNNNNNNNNNNNNNNNNNNNNGAGAGAGAGAGAGCCAUUAGUAGAGAGAAAGAGAGAGGGGGUAGGGGAGAGAGGGGGUCGGCGCCGGGGACCAGUGGUCGGGUCGGGUCGGCGCCGAAGGCCGUGGACCGGGGCGAGGCGAGAGAGAGAGAGAGAGAGGCUAGGGAGAGAGAGAGAGCCGUUAGAGGCUAGCCGCUACUAGUUUAACCAUAUGGACGACUAAAGGAUCGAUAUCACUGUAAGGCAUCCAAUACAAAUAGCAAAAUUCAGUAUCCGGUAGGGAAAUAUGGCAUCGUUCCGGACCUAAAAUAAAUCAAUGAAAAUGUUAAUCUUGAGAUAAGGUGGUUCAUACAAUUCAGUUUGAUUUCAGAGCAUGUUGAGAUCCUACUUCCUAGUGGUUUCUAGUCUCAGAAUCACCACGAACAGAAUAUUUUCACAGGCUUCGACUAAUAAAAGAUCAGGCUCCAGUGUGCAGGGGCAGGGGCAGAGGUAGAAUCCAAGCUACGAGUAAGGCCGAACCCAAGAACUUUUGCUACAUAUGAACACAUCAAAUUUGAAAAACCUAGUUAUUAGCAUUUGUAAUAGUCGUUCUGAAAUCCAAAACCCAUGAAGUUGAAAUUUUGGCUCCACCUCUGCCCACAUGAUGGGCACUUGACAAAGCUAAAAAGGGCAGCUAAAGCUCCCCACUAUGCACGGAGUCCGGGGAUGGGUCAUUUCUGCAAGAGGCUGUUUCCACGGGUAAUCUAAAUAAAAUUGAAGUGUUUCUCUAAUGGUUACCUAUGUUUGCUCGGACUCUUCAAAAAUAUUGGUGGGUGCGUGUCGGAUUCUCUAAAACUAGUGUAUUUUUGGAGAAUCCGACACAGGUGCAGCAUCGAAAGUGAAGAGUCGGCACAACUUAGAUGAUUACACAGUUCAAUAUUUGAAACUGACGCGUAGUUCGUCGAUUAAAAUGCACCGUAAGAGCAUAUUUUAUGUAUAAACAUACACACACCUGGCUCAUCAGACCCAUCCGGGCAGUCACAAAAAUCAUCAUUGAGCUGAGCUUUAGUGAAUUUCUUUGACCCAUCUUUGCAUUUUAUCGCACCAGAUGAUAAACCUUUGUAAUAAUUCUCAUCUGCAAUCAACAACAUAACAUGAUGAGUAUUUUCACCGAACAUCAACAAAAUCAUCAGAAACAGCUAAAUUUAACAAUUAUUUCUACAGAAAAAUAUUCAAAUCACGAAACAGGGUCAGCUGCACUUCCAUCAAAAUAACAAAACUAAUCAUUAUCUCAACAGAAAAUUUGAAAAUUGCAAAAUGGGGCAGCUCCAUUUCCAUCAAAACAGCAAAAUUAACAACUAUUUCUACAGAAAAGUAAAAGCUUUUUCUAUUAGGAUUCCAUUCACCCUUCAACUGGGAAUUAAAUUCCUUCAAAUUGUAUCCGCUUAAAUUUGUGAAUCAAUUCAUAACCUUUCAGACACAACCAUUUUAAAAUCACGAAAUGGUUGAUGGAAAAUAGCAAAUUUAGCAAUUAUUUACUAAAUGUGUGAGCUCCAUGUGCAUCAAAAACAGCUCAUUUAACAAUCAUUUCUACAAAAAGAAUCUGAAAUCAAGAAAUGGGUAAUCUGCAAUUCCAUCAAAACAUCAAACAUUAACGAUCAUUUCUACGAAAAAAACUCAAAAUAAUGAAAUAAGUCAUCAGCAAUUCCAUCAAAAACAGCAAAGUAAACAUUUUUUUUCCACUACAAAAAACUGAAAUCAAGAAAUGGGUCAUCUGCAAUUCCAUCAAAACAUCAAACAUUAACGAUCAUUUCUACGAAGAACUCCAAAAUAACGAUAUAGAUCAUCAGCAAUUCCAUCAAAAACAGCAAAGUUAACAAUUUUUUUCCGCUAAAAAAACUGAAAUCAAGAAAUGGGUCAUCUGAACUCCAUCAAAAACAGCUCAAUUAACCAUUAUUUCUACAUAAAAUUUUAAAAUCACUAAAAGGGUCAGCUCCAUUGUCAUCAAAGUAGCAAAAUUAUCACUUCUUUUUUCUGCGGAAAAUUUUAAAAUCACGAAAUGGGUCAUCAAAAAUAGAAAAUUAACAAUAAUUUCUACGAAAAAAAAUCUGAAAUCACAAAAAGGGUCAGCUGAAUUCCAUCAAAAACAGCAAAAAUUAACCAUCUUUUCUUCUUAGAAAAACUAAAAUCACGAAAUGGAUCAUCAAACAUAGCAAAUUUAACAAUUAUUUCUGCAAAAAAGAAUUUCAUAAUCACCAAAUAGCUCAUCAAAAAUAACAAAAUAAACAAUUAUCUAUCAAAAAAACUCUAAAAUCACCAAAUUGCUUCUCCAAUUCCAUCCAAAACAGCUCAAUUAACCAUUACUUCAACACACACACACACACACACUAAAUGGGUCAUCUCCAAUUCCAUCCAAAACCGGUCAAGUAACCAUUAUUUCAGCACACACACACACACAAAUGGGUCAUCUCCAAUUCCAUCAAAAUCAGCUCAAUCAACCAUUAUUUCAACACACACACGCACACUAAAUGGGUCAUCUCCAAUUCCAUCAAAAUAGCAAAACUGAUAAUUAUUUCCACAAAAAAAUUGAAGUCAUGAAAUGGGUCAUUUGCAAUUUCAUUAAAUAGCAAAGAUGAAUAUCAUUCUUUACGAAAAAUAUCAAAAAAUGAAUACGAACCUUGAGGUGCAAUUCCAAGAUGGUUUAUAGAAGCAACACACACAGAUCUACCAAUUAACGAUGUACACAAAAUACAACACACCAAAUAUAUUAAUUUCAAUCGUAAUACCAUCAUUUUUUUUCCCACCAAAAAUCGAAAAAAAUCUAAAUCAGCAUUUGGUUUUUUCCAAUUUACUGCAAAAAUUGUAUAGUGAUUGUUUAGUGAGGCCAAUGAAAAUUUUUUUCGCUAGAGUUGGUAAUUGAGCUGGGCGGCCAUUGGAGGGUGGAAUGCUUUAAACGAUGCCGUUUUGGUACACUUCUCUCACUAAUUUUUUUUAUAAAAUAAAACUAUAAGGAAAUUAUUUCACUUGUUUAUUUUUUAAUUUUUUUUUUAAUACUAUGGUAUUAAAUAACUUCAUGUGAUUAUUUUUACUAACCGUGGUGUUCGGCCCAACUUGCGCGCACCUCAACUAAUUUCACGGGAUAUCAGGUAACUCUGUUCGAGUUAGCAUGUGUGCACCUCAACUAAUUUCACUCUAUCUGAAUCAAUUUGCGCGCACCUCAACUAAUUUCACAAGAUAUCAGGUAACUCUAUUGGAGUCACCAUGCGUGCAGCUCGACUAAUUUCACUCUGUUCGGAUCAAUUUGUGCGCACCUCAACUAAUUUCAUCAGGUAACUCCAUUUGAGUGCACUUCGACUAAUUAUACUCUGUCCGGAUCAGUUUGCACGCACCUCGACUAAUUUCACAGGAUAUCAGGUAACUCUAUUCGGGUGAGCAUGCGUACACCUCAACUAAUUUCACUCUGUCAGGUAACUCUAUUCGGGUCAACUUGUGUCGCACCUCGACUAAUUUCACUUGUUUGGAUCAGUUUGCACGCACCUCGACUAAUUCCACGGGAUAUCAAGUAAUUCUAUUUGGAUCAGCUUGCGCACACCUCGACUAAUUUCACUUUGUCUGGAUCAGCUUUCGCGCACCUCGACUAAUUUCACGGGAUAUCGGUAACUCUGUUUGGAUCAGCUUGCACACACCUCAACUAAUUUCACGGAAUUCUUUUUUUUAAUGUUAAAUUCUACGGAAUUCAUGUAACUCUAUUUGGAUCAGCUUGCGCACAACUCGACUAAUUUCACUUUAUUCGGAUCAGCUUUCGCGUACCUUGACUAAUUCUAUGGGAUUUCAGGUUACUUUGUUCGGAUUAUCUUGCGGGUACCUCGACUAAUUCCAUAGGAUUUAGAUAACUCUAUUCAGGUCAGUUUGCGUGCACCUCGACCAACUCCAUGGGAUACCUGCCACCUCACAUCAGCAACAGGUAUCAAGUAACUCUAUCCAGAUCAAUUUACGCACCUCAAUUAAUUUCGUGGGAUACUGUAAUACCCCAAAAAUUCCAAACCAAUAUUAGCACCAUGCUUCAAGCUCAUGCAUGGUACAUCAUGGUUCUUUUAUAGUUUUAUGAGUAAUUUAGAUGUAUAUUAAGGCUUCAAAUAACUCCCAGCUAUCCGAUGGAUCAAAACAUUCCUUACCGAUUGAAUUCUUGGAAAGGAUAUUGCCAUAGUCAACUUCAAAUGAGCAUAUAUCUCGUUAUACUGUGAAUUUUUGAGUCAUGAUAGACCAACAGAUAGAUAAUUAAAUUAGCUUUCCAACGAUACCAAUUUCGCCAAAAUCCAAUAUUAGAGCAAAAAGUUAUACCCAUUUUACUCCAGCAUGUCAGCCUGGAAACUGAGUGACGACCUGUCUGACGGCUUAUCACAUUUCUGACGACUUAUCAGCUAACGUCGUCAGCCUUAGACAGAAACCCAUUAAUUUCAGGUCCUAGGUAACGACCUGGGUUGAUGGGAUAUCACAGAUCUGACGGCUUAUCAGCCUUGGUCGUCAGCUGAUAAUUUCAGCAACUGGAAAGUGAUUUUGUUGGGGUAUUUUGGUCUUUUUCCACAUUGAUUUGUCCCAAAAAUGCCCCGUUCACGCCGUUUCACUAGUUUGUCCACCCAAAUGGCCACAAAAAAUUAAACGGACCACACUGAGACAAUCCCGAACCUCCCUGACAUGCCCCAAUUGAUUUUUGGCUGUCAACACUCCCGGACCCCAGGCCCACCCCCAAAACCGUGGGCUAUAGCACACCGAUUUGGCUCGAAAAUGCCUCGUUCGCGCCGUUUUGCCGGUUAGUCCACUCAAAUGGCCAGAAAAAAUUAAAUAGACCACACUGGGACAAUCCCCAACCUCACUGACACAGCCCAAUCAAUUUUCAACCCAUAGAACGCUCGGCCCCCAAGCCCAUCUCCGAAACCAUGGGCUAUAGCACACCGUUUGUCCACCCAAAUGGCCACAAAAAAUUAAACGGACCACACUAAGACGAUCCCCAACCUCCCUGGCAUGCCCCCGUCGAUUUUUUGGCCCACAGCACGCCCGAACCUUGGACCCACCCUCAAAACCGUGGGCUAUAUCACACCUAUUCAACCUAAAAAUGUCCCAUUCGCGCCGUUUCACCCGUUUAUCCACCCAAAUGGCCGCCAAAAAUUAAAUGGACCACACUGAGAUGAUCCCCUAUCUCCCUGGCACGCCCCAAUCGAUUUUCAGCCCAUAGCACACCCGGACCCUGGGCCCACCCCCAAAACCGGGAACUAUAGCACCGUUCGCUCCGUUUCGCCCGUUUGUCCUUCCAAAUGGCCGGGAAAAAUUAAACGAACCACACUGCUACGUUCCCAACCUCCAUGAACGCCCCAAUCGAUUUUUGACCCACAGCAUGACCAGACCCCGGGCCCACCUCAAAACCGUGGGCUAUAGCACACAGGUUUGGCAUGAAAAUGCCUGUUCGCUCCGUUUAAUCACCCAAAUGGUCGCAAAAAAUUAAACGGACUACAUUGGGACGAUACCCAAUAUCCCUGGCAUGCCCCGAUCGAUUUUUGAACCACAGUACACCCGGACCCUGGGCCCACCCUCAAAAUUGGGGGCUAUAGCACAUCGAUUUGACCCAAAAUGCCCCGUUCGUGCCGUUUUGCCCGUUUGUCCACCCAAAUGGCCACGAAAAAUUAAACAGACCACACUGGGACGAUCCCCAACCUCCCUGACAUACCUCAGUCGAUUUUUGGCCUAUUGCACGCCCAGAGCUCGGGCCCACACCCAAAAUUGUGUGCUAUUGCACAACGAUUUAGCCUGAAAAUGCCCAAUUCGCACAGUUUCACCCGUUUGUCCACCCAAAUAGCCAUGAAAAAUUAAAUGAACCACACUGAAAUGACCCCCAACCUCCAUGGCAUGCCCAGGUCGAUUUCGCUCUACAGUACACCUGAACCCCGAGCCCACCCCCGAAACCAUGGGCUAUAGCAUACCAAUUUUGGCCUAAAAAUGCUUCGUUCGCGCCGUUUUGCCUAUUUAUCCACUCAAAUGGCCAUGAAGAAUUAAACGGACCCCACUGGGACGAUCCCCAACCUCCCAGGGAUGCCCCAGUUGAUUUUCGGCUUAUAGCGCUCCCGGACCCCGGGCCAACCCCCGAAACCGUGGGUUAUAGCACACUGAUUAGGCCUGAAAAUGCCCCGUUCAAGCCGUUUCCCUAUUUGUCCACCCAAAUGGCCACGAAAAAUUAAACGGACCACACUGGGACAAUCCCCAACCUUCCUGGCAUGCCCCAGUCGAUUUUUGGCCCACAGCACGCCCGGACCCCCUUCCCAAAGCCAUGGGCUAUAGCACAUCGAUUUGGCCCUAAAAUGCCCUGUUCGCGCCGCUUUGCCCGUUUGUCCACCCUAAUGACCACAAAAAAUUAAACGAACCACACUAAGAUGAUUCCUAAUCUCCUUGACAUGCCUAGGUUGAUUUUUGGUAGUCAGUACGCCCGAACCCCGGGCCCACCCUUCGAAACCGUGGGCUAUAGUACACCAAUUUGGCUCGAAAAUGCCUCGUUCGCGCCGUUUCGCCCGUUAGUCCACCUAAAUGGCCACGAAAAAUUAAACUGAUCAUACUGGGACAAUGGCCAACCUCACUGGCACGCCCCAGUUGAUUUUCUGCCCAUAGCAUGUCCGGACCUCGGGUUCACCCCUUAAACCAUGGGCUAUAGCACACCGAUUUGGCCCGAAAAUAUUCCGUUCGCAAUAUUUCACUCGUUUGUCCUCCCAAAUAGCCACAAAAAAUUAAACGGACCAAACUUUGAUGAUCCCCAACCUCCUUGGCAUGCACCGGUUGAUUUUCAGCCCACAACACGCUCGAACCCCGGGCCCACCCCCGAAAAAGUGGGCUAUAGGACACCAAUUUGGCCCGAAAUUGCGUCGUUCGCGUCGUUUUGCCCGUUUGUCCACCUAAAUGGCCACGAAAAAUUAAACGGACCACACUGGGACGAUCCCUAACCUCCUUGGUAUGCCUCGGUCGAUUUUCGGCUCACAGCAUUUCUGGACCCCUGGCGCACCCCCAAAACCGUGGGAUAUAGCACACCGAUUUGGCCCGCUAAUGCCUCGUUCACGUUGCUUCUCCAAUUUGUCUACCAAAAUGGUCACGAAAAUUAAAUGAACCAUACUGGGAUGAUGGGAUAAUCCCCAACCUCCCUGGUAUGCCCCGGUCUACUUUCGGCCCAAAGCACGCCCGGACCCCGGGUCCACCCCUAAAACUGCGGGCUAUAGCACAACGAUUUAGCCUAGAAAUGUCCCGUUCACAGUGUUUCACCCGUUUGACCACCCAAAUGGCCACAAAAAAUUAAACGGACCACACUGGGACGAUCCCCAACCUCCCUGGCACGCCCCGAUUGAUUUCGGCCAACAGCAUACCCGAAUCCCGGUCCAACCCCAAAAUCUUGGUUAUAGCACACCGAUUUGGCCCGAAAACUCCCCGUUCGCGCCGCUUCGCCCGCUUAGCCACCCAAAUGGCCACAAAAAAAUAAAACGGACCACACUGGGAUGAUCCCAAACCUCCAUAGCGCGAUCCGAUUGAUUUUUUGCCCUCAGAACGCUCGGGCCCACCCCCAAAAUCAUGGGCUAUAGCACACCGAUUUGGCUUAAAAAUGCACUGUUCGCGUUGUUUCGCCCGUUUGUCCACCAAAAAAACUAUGAAAAAAUAAACGGACCACACUAAGACGAUCCCCAACCUCCCUGGCAUGCCCCGAUCGAUUAUCGGCCCACAGCACGCUCGGACCCCGAUCCCACCCCCGAAACCGUGUGUUAUAGCACACCGAUUUGGCCAGAAAAUGCCCCGUUUGAGUCGUUUCGCCCGUUUGUCCAUCCAAAUGGCCACGAAAAAUUAAACGGACCACAUUGGGACGAUCACCAACCUCCUUGGUGCGCCCUGAUGGAUUUUUAGCCCACAGCACGCCCAAACCCCGAGCCCACCUAUGAAAUCGUGGGUUAUAGCCACAGAUUUAGCCCAAAAAUGCCCCGUUCGCGCUGUUCCGCCCGUUUGUCCACCCAAAUAUCCACAAAAAAUUAAACGGUCCACACUGGGAUGAUCCCCAACCUCCCUGGCACGCCCCGAUCGAUUUUUGGCCCAUAUCACGCCCGAAUGCCUGGCCCACCCCCAAAACCGUGGGCUAUAGCACAUCGAUUUGUCUCAAAAAUGCCCCAUUCGUACCAUUUCGCCCGUUUGUCCACCCAAAUGGCCACGAAUAAUAAAACGGACCACACUAGGAUGUUCCCCAACCUCCCUGACACGGCCCGAUCAAUUUCAGCCCACAGCACGCCUGGACCCCGAGCCCAACCCCGAAAUCGCGGGUUAUAGCAUACCGAUUUUGCCCAAAAAUAUCUCAUUCGCGUCGUUUUACGCUUUUGUCCACCCAAAUGGCCAUGAAAAAUUAAACGAACCACACUGGGACAACCCCCAAAAUCAUGGGCUAUAGCACUUUGAUUGGCCACGAAAAUACCUCGUUCGCGCUGUUUCGCUCGUUUGUCCUCCCAAAUGGCCGCGAAAAAUUAAACGAACCAGACUGCUACGUUCCUAACCUUCAUGGCACGCCCUAAUUAAUUUUUGACCCACAGCAUGACCAGACCUCAGGCCCACACCCGAAACUGUGGGUUAUAGCACACAGGUUUGACACGAAAAUGCCUCGUUCGCGCCGUUUAAUCACCCAAAUGGCCGCAAAAAAUUAAACAGACCAUAUUGGGACGAUCCCCAACAUCCCUGGCAUGCCCUGAUCGAUUUUUGGUCUAUAGCAUGCCCGAACACUGGGACCAUCCCCAAAAUUGAGGGCUAUAGCACAUCGAUUCGGCCCGAAAUGCCCCGUUCGUGCCGUUUUGCCUGUUUGUCCACCCAAAUAGCCACGAAAAAUUAAACGGACCACACUAGGACGAUCUCCAACCUCCCUGACAUGCCUCAGUCGAUUUUUGGCCUACUGCACGCCCAGACCCCGGGCCACACCCAAAAUUGUGGGCUAUUGCACAGAGAUUUGGCCCGAAAAUGACCAAUUCGCAUAAUUUCGCCCGUUUGUCCACCCAAAUGGCCACGAAAAAAUAAACGGACCACACUAGAACGAUCCCCAACCUCCAUGGCAUUCCCUAGUCGAUUUUUACUCCACAGCAUACCAAACCCCAGGCCCACCCCCGAAACCGUAGGCUAUAGCACACCGAUUUGACCCAAAAAUGCUCCGUUCGCACCGUUUCGCCUGUUUAUCCACCCAAAUGGCUACGAAGAAUUAAACGGACCACACUGGGAUGAUCCACAACCUCCCAGGCAUGCCCUAGUCAAUUUUUGGCCUGUAGAACUCCCGAACCCCGAGCCUACCCCUGAAACCAUGGGUUAUAGCACACCGAUUAGGAUCGAAAAUAACGCAUUCGAGGUGUUUCCCCUAUUUUUCCACCUAAAUGGCCACGAAAAAUUAAACGGACCACACUAAGAUGAUCCAUAACCUCCCUGGCAGGCCCCAAUCGAUUUUUAGCCCAUAGCACGCCCGAACCCCCUUCCUAAAACCAUGGCUAUAGCACAUCGAUUUAGACCGAAAAUGCCUCGUUCGCGCUGCUUCGCCCGUUUGUCCACCCUAAUGGCCAUAAAAAAUUAAACAGACCACACUGAGAUGAUCCUCAAUCUCCCUGGUAUGCCCAGGUCGAUUUUUGGUAGUCAGUUCACCCAAACCCCAGGCCCACCCUUCAAAACCGUGGGCUAUAAUACACUAAUUUGGCUCAAAAAUGCCCUGUUUGCGCCGUUUCGCCCGUUAGUUCACCCAAAUGGCCACGAAAAAUUAAACUGAUCAUACUGGAACGAUGACCAACUUUACUGGCAUGCUUUGAUCGAUUUUCGGCCCAUAGCACGCCCGAACAUUGGGUCCACCCCCGAAACCGUGGGCUAUAGCACACCGAUUUGGCCCGAAAAUACCCCGUUUGCAAUGUUUCACCCAUUUGUCCUCCCAAAUGGACACAAAAAAUUAAACGGACCACACUGGGAUGAUCCCCAACCUACCUGGCAUGCACCGAUUGAUUUUCGGCCCACUACACGCACGAACCCCGGGCCUACCCCUGGAACCGUGGGCUAUAGGACACCAAUUUGUCUUGAAAUUGCCUCGUUCGCCCCGUUUCUCCCGUUUGUCCACCCAAAUGGCCACGAAAAAUUAAACAAACCACACUGGGAUGAUCCCCAACCUUCCUGGCAUGCCCUGGUCUAUUUUUGGCCAGAGCACGCCCGAAAACUGGGCCCACCCCAAAAAUCGUAGGCUAUAGCACACCGAUUUAGCCUGGAAUUGCCCCGUUCACAGCGUUUAACCCAUUUGACCACCCAAAUGGCCACAAAAAAUUAAACGGACCACACUGGGACGAUCCCCAACCUCACUGACAUGCCCUGAUAGAUUUUUGGCCCACAGCACACCUGGACAAUGGGGCCACCCCCGAAUCCGUGGGCUAUAGCAUACCGAUUUGGCUAAAAAAACAUCCCGUUCGCACCGUUUAGCCCAUUUAUCCACCCAAAUGGUUGCAAAAAACUAAACGAACCACACUAGGACGAUCCCCAACCUCCUUGGCACACCCUGAUCGAUUUUUGGCCAUAACCCGCCCAAACCCCGAGCCCACUCCUGAAAUCGUGGGCAAUAGCACACUGAUUUGGCCCGAAAAUGCCCCGUUCAUGCUGCUUCUCCUGUUUGUCCAUGAAAAGGCCACGAAAAAUUAAACGGACCAUACAGGGAUGAUCCCCAACCUCCUUAGCACGGCUCGAUCGAUUUUUGGCCCACAGCAUGACCAGACCCCCGGCCCACCCCCAAAAUCGUGGGAUAUAGCACACCUAUUGGUCUCAAAAAUGCCCCGUUCGCACCAUUUCGCCCAUUUAUCCACCCAAAUGGCCACAAAAAAUCAAACGGACCACAAUGGGACUAUUCCCAACCUACCUGGCAUGGCCCGAUCAAUUUUUAGCCCACAGCACGCCUGGACCCCGGGUUCACCCCCGAAACCGUGGGUUAUAGCACACCGCAUUUGCCUGAAAAUGCCCCAUUCAUAUCAUUUCGCCCGUUUGUCCACCUAAAUGGCCACAAAAAAUUAAACGGGCCAAAAUGGAAUGAUCCCCAACCUCCCUGGCACUCCUCGAUCGAUUUUUGACCCACAGCUCGCCCGGACCCCGGGCCCUCCACUGAAACUGUGGGUUAUAGCAUACUGAUUUGGUCUGAAAAUGCCCCGUUCGCGUUGUUUGUCCUGUUUGUCCACCCAAAUGGCCACGAAAAAUUACACGAACCACACUGGGACGAUCCCCAAUCUCCCUGGCAUGCCCCGAUCGAUUUUCAGCCCAUAACACGCCUAGACCUUGGGCCAACCCCCGAAACUGUGGGCUAUAGCACACCGAUUAGGCCCAAAAAAUGCCCAUUCGCGCCGUUUCGCCUGUUUGUCCACCCAAAUGGCCACGAAAAAUAAAAAAGACCACACUGGGAUGAUUCCUAGCCUUACUGCCAUGCCCCGAUCAAUUUUCGACCCACAACACGUUUGGGACCCGUGUCCACCCCUGAAACCGUGGGCUAUAGCACACCAAUUUGGCCUGAAAAUGCCCCGUCCACAUCGUUUUACCCAUUUGUCCCCUCAAAGAGCCACAAAAAUUAAACAGACCACACUAGGACAAUCCCCAACCUCCCUGGCAUGCCCCGAUCAAUUUUUGGGCCACAGCACACCCGGACCCUAGGCCAAACCUUAAAAUCGAGGGCCAUAGAACACCGAUUUAGCCCAAAAAAUGCCCCGUUCAUGCCGCUUCACCCGUUUGUCCAUCCAAAUGGACAUGAAAAAUUAAACGAACCACACUGGGACGAUCCCCAACCUCCCUGUCACGCCCCGAUCAAUUUUUAUUGCACAGCACGCCUAGACUCCGGGUUCAACCCCAAAUCGUGGGCUAUAGCACACCGAUUUGGCCCGAAAAUGCCUCGUUCACGCCGUUUCGCCCGUUAGUCCACCCAAAUGGCCAGGAAAAAUUAAACAGACCACACUGGGAUGAUCCCCAACCUCACUGACACGCCCCGAUCAAUUUUCGACCCAUAGAACAAGCAGCCCCUAGGCCCACCUCCGAAACCAUGGUCUAUAGCACACCGAUUUGGCAAGAAAAUGCUCUAUUCGUGCCGUUUUACUUGUUUGUCCACCCAAAUGGCCACAAAAAAUUAAACGGACCACACUAAGACAAUCCCCAACCUCCAUGGCACGCCCCCGUCGAUUUUUGGCCAACAGCACAACCCGGACCCCAGGCCCACCUCCAAAACUGUGAGUAAUAGCACAUCGAUUUGGCCCUAUAAUGCCCCGUUCGCGUCGUUUGUCCACCCAAAUAACCACAAAAAAUUAAAUGGACCACGCUAGCAUGAUCUCCAACCUCCCAGGCACUCCUCGGUCAAUUUUAGGCCAACAACACACCCGGAACCUGAGCCCACCCCCAAACAGUGGGCUAUAGCACACCGAUUUAGCUCGAAAAUGGCCCAUUGGCGCCGUUUCGCCCGUUUGUCCACCCAAAUGGCCACGAAAAAUUGAAAUUGACCACACUGGGACUAUCCCUAACCUCCUUGGCACUCCCCAAUUGAUUUUCGGCCUACAAUACGCCCAGACCCCGGGCAUACCCCCGAAACCGUGGGAUAUAGCACACAAAAUUAUCGCGUUCGUGCCGUUUUGCCAGUUUGUCUACCCAAAUAGGCACAAAAAAUUAAAUAGAUCACGCAGGGAUGAACCGCAAUGUCCCGAGCACGCCUUGGUUAAUUUUCAACCCAUAACACGUACGGACCCUAGGCCAACCCAAAACCAUGUGCUAUAGCGCAUCGAUUUGACCCGAAAAUGCCCCGUUCGCGCAGUUUUGCCCGUUUGUCCACCCAAAUGGCCACAAAAAAUUAAACGGACCACACUAGGACGAUCCCUAACCUCUCUGGCACACCUCGAUCAAUUUUUGGCCUACAACACGCCUGGACCCUGGGUCCACCCCCGAGCUCAUGUGCUAUAGCACACCAAUUUAGCCCAAAAAUGCCCUGUUUUGCCAGUUUGUCCACCUAAAUGACCAUAAAAAUAAAACGGACCACACUGGGAAGAUCCCCAACCUUCCUGGCAUGUCCUGGUCAAUUUUUGUCCCACAGCACGCUCGAACCCUGGGCCCACCAUCAAAACAGCGGGCUAUAACAUACCGAUUUGGUUCGAAAAUGCCCCGUUCGCAUCAUUUUGCCGUUCGAUUUUCAGCCCACAGCACGCCCAGACCCCAAGCCCCCCAAAACCGUGGGCUAUAGCACACUAAUUUGGUCUGAAAAUGCCCUGUUUACGUCGUUUUGCUCGUUUGUCUACCCAAAUAGCUACAAAUAGUUAAACGGUCCACACAGGGAUGAUCCCCAACAUCCCUGGCAUGCUCCGAUCAAUUUUUGGCCCACUGCAUACCCGAACCCCAGGCCUACACCCAAAACCGGGGCUAUAGCACACUGAUAUAGCCCAAAAAUGCCCCGUUUGCAUCGUUUCGCCUGUUUGUCGACCUAAAUAGUUACAAAAAAUUAAACGAACCACACUGGGAUGAUCCCCAACCUCCCUAGCAUGCGUCGGUCAAUUUUCGGCCUAUAGCACUCCCGAACCCCCGCCCCACCCUCGAAACUGUGGGCUAUAGCACACCAAUUUGGCUCGAAAUUUCCCCGUUCGCGCCGUUUCACCCGUUUGUCCACCCAAAUGGCCACGAAAAAUAAAACGGACCAUCCUGGGAUGAUCCCCAACCACCUUGCACUCCCCGAUCAAUUUUUGACCCGCAGCACACCCGAACCCUAGGCCCACCCCCAAAACCAUGGGCUAUAGCACAUCGAUUUUGCUCCAAAAUGCCCCGUUCACGUCGUUUCGCUCGUUUGUCCACCCAAAUUGCAACAAAAAAUUAACUGUACCUUACUGGGACGAUCCCCAACCUCCCUGGCAUACCUCAAUCGAUUUUCAGCCCGCAGCAUGCUCGGACCCUAGAAAUCGUAGGCUAUAGCACACCGAUUUAGCCUGAAAAUGCCCCGUUUGUGUUGUUUCGGUCGUUUAUCUACCCAAUUGGCCACAAAAAAUUAAACGGAUCAUACUGGGAUGAUCCCCAAUUUCCAUGGCCCGUCUUAGUCGAUUUUUGGCCAACAACACACCCGAACUCUGGGACCACCCCCAAAACCAUGCGUUAUAGCACACCAAUUUGACCUGAAAAUGCCCCAUUCGCGCUGUUUUGCCCGUUUGUCCACCCAAAUAGCCAUGAAAAGUUAAAUGGGCCACAAUGGAACGAUCCCCAACCUCCUUGGCACACCCCAGUUAAUUUUCGGCCCAUAACAUGCCCAGACACCGGGCUCACCCCCAAAACCGUGGGCUAUAGCACACUGAUUUGGUCUGAAAAUGCCUUGUUCGCACUGUUUUGCUUGUUUGUCUACCUAAAUAUCUAUGAAUAGUUAAACAGACCACACUGGGAUGAUCCCCAACUACCCUGGCACACCUCGGUCUAUUUUUGGCCCACAGUACGAUUGAACCCCGGGACCACCCCAGAAACCGUGGGCUUUAGCAUUCCGAUUUGGCCAGAAAAUGCCUCGUUCGCGCCAUUUCGCUCGUUUGUCCACCCAAAUGAUCAUGAAAAAUUAAACGAACCACACGGGGAUGAUCCCAACCUUCCUGACACGCCCCGUCGAUUUUUGGUCCACAACACACCCGGACCCCCGGUCCACCCUUGAAAUAUUGGCUAUAGAACACCGAUUUUUUCCAAAAAUACCCCGUUCCCACCGUUUUACCCGUUUAUCCAUCCAAAUGGCCAUGAAAAAUUAACCUAACCAUACUGAGAUGAUCCCCAACCUUUCAGGCAUACUUUGGUCGAUUUUUGGCCCACAGGACGCCCAAACCCCGGGUCCACCCCCGAAAACGUGGACUAUAGCACAUCGAUUUGGCCCGAAAAGGUCCCGAUCAUGCAGUUUUGCCCGUUUAUCGACCCAAAUGGCCAAAAAAAAUUAAAUGUAUCACACUGGGACGAUCCUCAACCUCCCUGACACACCUCGAUCAAUUUUUUGGCCUGAAAAAGCUCCGUUCGCACCAUUUCGCCUAUAUAUCCACCCAAAUAGCCACGAAAAAUUACAUGGACCACACUGGAACGAUCCCUAACCUCCCUGACAUGUGCUGUUCAAUUUUCAAACCACAGCACGCCCAGACCCCAGACCCACCCCCAAAAACAUAGGCUAUAAUACAUCGAUUUGUCCCAAAAAUGCCUCAUUUGUGUCGUUUUGCCCGUUUGUACACCCAAAUAGCCAUGAAAAAUUAAACGGACCUCACUGGGAAGAUCCUUACUAUCCCUGGCAUGCUUCGAUCGAUUUUUGGCCCACUGCAUGCCCGAACCCCAGGCCCACACCUGAAACGAGGGGCUAUAGCACACCGAUUUGGCUCGAAAAUGCCCCAUUCGCAUCGUUUCACCUGUUUGUCCGCCCAAAUAGAUACAAAAAAUUAAACGAACCACACUGGGAUAAUCCCCAACCUCCCUGGCAUGCCCCGGUCGAUUUUCAGCCCACAGCACGCCCGGACCCCUGGCCCACCCCCAAAACCGUGGGCUAUAGCACACCAAUUUGGCUCAAAAUUGCUUCGUUUGCACUUUUUCGCCCGUUUGUCCACCCAAAUGGCCGCAAAAAAUAAAACGGACCACCCUGGGAUGAUCCCCAAAGUAAUACCCCGCAUAUUUUUAAGCUAGGAAGUGAAUGAGUAUUCCUAUGUAUGAAAUCUUCUAUCCUGUGGUUCAUACUUGAGUACAUGACUUACAAUGAAUAUCCUAGUGAUAGGAUAGCUUAUGAUGCAUUAAGCAUGUUCAUAUGAGUCACUUAAGGUAAUACAAGCUAAGAGUUUUUGAAUCCAUCAAGUUUUAGUGUUUGAUUUUGCAAGGGUCAUCUUUGAAAGAGUAUAACUCGAUGUUAAUAUGGUAUUUUGGCUGAUUUAGACCCACCAAAUUAUAGAGAAUCUAAUUAUCUUUCCAACAAUACCAAUUUCGCCUUAAUCCAAUACCUGAGCGAAAAGUUACGCCCAUUUUCGUGAGAGACAGUAAGCAUAGGCAAUUGGUUAGGUGCCGCUCAACCCAAGCAUAGGCGAUUGGUUAGGCGCCGCCCAACCCAAGCAUAGGUGAUUGGUUAGGCGUCGCCCAACCCAAGGAUAGGCGAUCACUUGGGCGUCGCCUAAGUCAAAUCCAGGUGUCAAAAAUACUCUGUCUUGAGUUAUUUUAAAGGUAAUUAAGUCUUUAAAUACUCCUUACACGUCCCUAAACUUAACCCUACGAAAUAUAUAUCUUCUAAACAUACUGCAACCCUAUUUUCAUCUCAAAUCUCAUCAUCCAAGAGCACUAAAGGAGAAAAACAACUAGAGUUGCAUAAUUAAGUUUGAAGAUCUGAUUUCAAGGAAUUUCCUCCGCCAAUCAUCAAGAAUCUUCCUUCUAAGGUAUGCGUAGUGUUCAUCCACGGAUUUCUUUCAUCCGUGGAGUUCAAGAAUCAAUCUUUAAAAUACAAAAGCUUGGUUGAUUGUGGUGAUAUGAUCAUACCCAUGUUGAUGCUUGUUUGUUUUUCUCUUUUUCAUUAUAAAGUAUNNNNNNNNNNNNNNNNNNNNNNNNNNNNNNNNNNNNNNNNNNNNNNNNNNNNNNNNNNNNNNNNNNNNNNNNNNNNNNNNNNNNNNNNNNNNNNNNNNNNNNNNNNNNNNNNNNNNNNNNNNNNNNNNNNNNNNNNNNNNNNNNNNNNNNNNNNNNNNNNNNNNNNNNNNNNNNNNNNNNNNNNNNNNNNNNNNNNNNNNNNNNNNNNNNNNNNNNNNNNNNNNNNNNNNNNNNNNNNNNNNNNNNNNNNNNNNNNNNNNNNNNNNNNNNNNNNNNNNNNNNNNNNNNNNNNNNNNNNNNNNNNNNNNNNNNNNNNNNNNNNNNNNNNNNNNNNNNNNNNNNNNNNNNNNNNNNNNNNNNNNNNNNNNNNNNNNNNNNNNNNNNNNNNNNNNNNNNNNNNNNNNNNNNNNNNNNNNNNNNNNNNNNNNNNNNNNNNNNNNNNNNNNNNNNNNNNNNNNNNNNNNNNNNNNNNNNNNNNNNNNNNNNNNNNNNNNNNNNNNNNNNNNNNNNNNNNNNNNNNNNNNNNNNNNNNNNNNNNNNNNNNNNNNNNNNNNNNNNNNNNNNNNNNNNNNNNNNNNNNNNNNNNNNNNNNNNNNNNNNNNNNNNNNNNNNNNNNNNNNNNNNNNNNNNNNNNNNNNNNNNNNNNNNNNNNNNNNNNNNNNNNNNNNNNNNNNNNNNNNNNNNNNNNNNNNNNNNNNNNNNNNNNNNNNNNNNNNNNNNNNNNNNNNNNNNNNNNNNNNNNNNNNNNNNNNNNNNNNNNNNNNNNNNNNNNNNNNNNNNNNNNNNNNNNNNNNNNNNNNNNNNNNNNNNNNNNNNNNNNNNNNNNNNNNNNNNNNNNNNNNNNNNNNNNNNNNNNNNNNNNNNNNNNNNNNNNNNNNNNNNNNNNNNNNNNNNNNNNNNNNNNNNNNNNNNNNNNNNNNNNNNNNNNNNNNNNNNNNNNNNNNNNNNNNNNNNNNNNNNNNNNNNNNNNNNNNNNNNNNNNNNNNNNNNNNNNNNNNNNNNNNNNNNNNNNNNNNNNNNNNNNNNNNNNNNNNNNNNNNNNNNNNNNNNNNNNNNNNNNNNNNNNNNNNNNNNNNNNNNNNNNNNNNNNNNNNNNNNNNNNNNNNNNNNNNNNNNNNNNNNNNNNNNNNNNNNNNNNNNNNNNNNNNNNNNNNNNNNNNNNNNNNNNNNNNNNNNNNNNNNNNNNNNNNNNNNNNNNNNNNNNNNNNNNNNNNNNNNNNNNNNNNNNNNNNNNNNNNNNNNNNNNNNNNNNNNNNNNNNNNNNNNNNNNNNNNNNNNNNNNNNNNNNNNNNNNNNNNNNNNNNNNNNNNNNNNNNNNNNNNNNNNNNNNNNNNNNNNNNNNNNNNNNNNNNNNNNNNNNNNNNNNNNNNNNNNNNNNNNNNNNNNNNNNNNNNNNNNNNNNNNNNNNNNNNNNNNNNNNNNNNNNNNNNNNNNNNNNNNNNNNNNNNNNNNNNNNNNNNNNNNNNNNNNNNNNNNNNNNNNNNNNNNNNNNNNNNNNNNNNNNNNNNNNNNNNNNNNNNNNNNCCACGUUCAUAUUAGUCAGUCAAUGUUGUUCAUGCAUGAAACCCUUUAUGUUCAGCCUACCUUCCUCGUAUACUCAGUACUCCAGUUGUACUGACGCAUUUGCACUAUGGUGCUUUCUUUUCAUGUUAUACCAUAGGUUCUGAGGCAUGAGCUCCAGCCCAACAGUAGCGGUAGCAUUUCAGUCGUAGAGACACAGUGAGUCCUCAUUGAUUCGAGGACAAUAUGAUUUGAUUCAUUUAUUUAUUCUUCAGUUUAGUUUUAUGAAGUUAGUUGGAGACAUGGUCCUUCAACUCCUUAUUCAGAUAGUUUAGAGGCUUUCAGAUCUACUUUCAGAUUUACGUUCAGAUUUAGUUGUUUUGGGUAUUUUGACCCACAUGAUUGUAUUCAGUUGAACCUUAUGGUCUUACAGUUCCAUGUAUUCUUCAUCAUUAUAUCAUUAUUUGCAGUAUAUAGGUACAGAUAUUAGUCAUGGGUUAGCUUGUGGUCCCUCGGGGUCAUGAGCACCGUGUAGCAUUCUGGUUCAGCAAAUCGGGGUGUUACAAACUUGAUAUCAAAGCCUAAGGUUCAAUAGAGUCCUAGGAAGUCUGAAAGCCGCAUCUAGUAGAGUAUUGUACAUGGGUGUGUUGCGCGCCAUAUUUAUGUGCGGGAGGCUAUAAGAUAUUUUAGGAAUAGUCUCCUUUCUUUAUUUUUCUUGUCAUGCUAGUUAGCAUAAUCACAAGUUAAACUCUCAGUCUAAUCCAUUCUUCUUUUAUUCCAGACCAUGGCCCCAAAGAGAAGGAACCAGCCAGCUCCUCAGCCCGAAGAUCCUUUGGGCGAACAUAUUUCCCAUGCGGAGUUUAGAGCCGCAUUUACCACACUUACUCAGUCCAUGGCUGCAUAAAAUGAAUGGUCACCAGUCAUUCCGGCCAAUCCAGUGCCACUCCCAAAGCAGCUAGGGUUUGGGACUUCACCCGGAUGAACCCUCUAUCUUUCCAUGGGUCUAAGUCUGAUGAGGACCCUCAGGAGUUCAUUGACCAAGUCCAGAAGGUCAUUGACAUCAUGGGUGCUGCUUCUAUUGAGAGUGCUGAAUUAGCCACCUACUAGUUACAGGAUGUUACUCAUGAUUGGUACAAACAGUGGAAGUCUGGGAGGUUAGAUGAUACAGACCCUAUCGAGUGGGAGGAAUUUGUCACAGCCUUCUUAAACAGAUUCUUUCCCCAAGAGCUGAGGAAAGCCAAAGUUCUUGAUUUCAUCAACCUCAGGCAGGGGAAUAUGACGGUUAGAGAGUAUUCUCUCAGAUUUACUCAGCUAGCCAGGUAUGUUCCUCAUGUGGUUGCAGAUAAUAGAGCUAAGAUGAGCAAGUUUGUGUUAGGAGUCAACGAUAACGUGGUAAAUGAGUGUAGGUCUGCGAUGCUAAUUGGUGAUAUGACCUUAGCAAGACUCAUGACCCAUGCCCAGCAAGUAGAAGAGAUGAAGUUUAAGACUAGGGAGAGGCAGAACAAGAGAGAAAGGUCAGGUAAUUUCAACUUUACUCACCCCAAGUCAGAUGGAGAAAAUCGUUCACAGUUUUGCUCCAAGUCAGCUGUUCCAUCUCCUUCCUCUGCCAGCGCUCUAGUGCCGAAGUUUAGAGACGGAAAUAGAAACAAAGCGCCAGCCUCUAAAUCUCAGGGUUGUGUUAGCAGUGCCAGAACGAAUCCCCUUUGUCAGACUUAUGGUAAGAACCACAAGGGCAUUUGCAGAACCGGUAGUGAUGUCUAUUUUGGUUGUGGCAAGCCAGUCCACAGGAUUAGGGAGUGUAUGCAGUCAAGUCUUCAGGGUCAGCAAAAUUAUUCUACAGCUCAAUCCAGUCGCUCGAACCAGUAGGGUGCCAUUUCCAAUGCUACUAGUGGGCAACUCCUAAAUAGACUCUAUGCUCUUUAGUCCCGGCAGGAUCAGGAAAAUUCUCCUGGAUUUUCCAUGUUCAUGUAUAUGCUUUGCUAUACCUAGGUGCAUCUUUGUCUUUUGUUACUCCACACACAGCAGACGAUUUCGAAAUCAGUCUCGAAGUCCUAGCAGAGCCCUUCUCAGUCUCUACCUCAGUGUGUAAAACCAUCAUAGCUCAACGGGUAUACAGGAACUGUCCAGUUAUGAUAUCUCAGAAAUCCACGUCAGCAAAUUUAAUGGAGUUAGAGAUGACUGAUUUUGAUGUCAUUCUCGGCAUGGAUUGGCUUUAUUCCUGCUAUGCCACAGUCGACUGCAGAAAUAGGAUAAUUCAGUUUCAGUUCCUAAAUAAGCCCGUCCUAGAAUGGAAGGGUAGCAUUUCAGCGUUCAGGGGUUAACUUAUUUCCUACCUUCGGGCAAGGAAAAUAAUUUCUAAGGGGUGUGUGUAUCAUCUCGUGCAUGUUAAAUAUUCAAGUUCUAAUUAUCCCAGCCUCGAAACAGUCUCUGUUGUUAAUGAAUACUUAGAUGUCUUUCCUAAAAAUCUUCCAGGCAUUCCUCCCGAAAGGGAAAUAGACUUCGGCAUAGACCUUCUUUUGGAUACUCAACCUAUUUCUAUUCUUCCAUACAGAAUGGCACCAGCAGAACUCAAGGAACUGAAAGAUCAGUUGAAGGAUCUCUUAGAUAAGGGAUUCAUAAGACCCAGUGUGUCCCCAUGGGGUGCGCCAGUAUUAUUCGUGCAUAAGAAAGAUGGUUCUCUCAGGAUGUGUAUUGAUUAUCGUCAACUCAACAAGGUCACGGUCAAAAAUAGAUAUCCUCUUACCAGGAUUAAUGAUCUAUUCGACCAACUUCAGGGUGCCAGUUACUUCUCCAAGAUAGACUUUAAAUCAGGCAAUCAUCAGCUCAGAGUUAGAGUAUGUGACAUUUCGAAGAUAAUUUUCUAUACUCGAUAUGGUCACUUCAAAUGUUUAGUCAUGUCAUUUGGUGUUACCAAUGACCCUGUAGCUUUUAUGGAUUUGAUGAACCGUGUGUUCAAGCAGUACUUGGACAUGUUUGUCAGAGUCUUUAUAGAUGAUAUUCUGGUCUAUUCUCGCACAGAGCGUGAUCAUGCAGACCAUCUCAGGAUUGUUCUUCAGAAUCUCAAGGAUCAUCAAUUAUUUGCUAAGUUCAUCAAGUGCAAAUUUUGGCUAAGAUCAGUAGUAUUCCUUGGCCAUAUUGUUUCCGGUGAUGGAAUUAGAGUAGAUCCUCAAAAAACUGAGGCAGUAAAAAACUGGCCCAGACCCGUAUCUCCAUCAGAUAUUAGGAGUUUCUUGGGUUUGGCUGGCUAUUACAGAUGGUUUGUCGAGGGAUUUUCUUCUAUUGCAUCUCCCAUGUCCAGAUUGACUCAGAAGAAGAUUAAGUUUUAGUGGUCAGAUUCAUGCGAGAAGAGCUUUCAAGAGUUGAAGACUCGACUCAUCUCCACUCCAGUUCUAGCUAUUCCAGAUAGUUCAGACAAUUUUGUAGUCUAUUGUGAUGCAUCCAGAGUGGGUUUAGGUUGUGUCCUCAUGCAGCAUGGUAGACCUUACGCCUCCAGAUAGUUAAAGCCACAUGAGAAGAAUUAUCUUACUCAUAAUCUUGAGUUAGCAGCGGUAGUUUUUUCCUUGAAGAUUUGGAGGCAUUAUCUCUAUGGAGUUCAUGUAGAUGUCUUCACAGGCCAUAAAAGCCUCCAGUAUGUCUUGUCCCAGAAAGAUCUCAAUCUUCGCCAGAGAAGGUGGUUAGAGCUCUUGAAGGAUUAUGACAUGAGUGUUGUUUAUCAUCCGGGCAAGUCUAAUAUUGUGGCCAACGCUCUCAGUUGACUCUCCAUGGGUAGUAUUUCUCACAUUGAGGAUAGUAAGAAAAAGAUGGCUCAGGAGAUCCAUCAGCUUGCCAGACUAGGCGUUCUCUUAGUCGAUUCUUCAGAGGGUGGUGUAUGUGUUCAUAGUAGUUCAGAGUCAUCUCUAGUUUUCGAGGUUAAAGAGAAAUAAGACAGGGAUCCUAGCCUUGUCAAGCUCAAAGAGUCAGUUCAAAAUAAAAAAGUUGAGAUUUUCUUCCAAGGGGGAGAUGUUGUUCUUAGUUGUCAGGGUCGUCUAUGUGUUCCAGGUAUAUAUGAAUUGAGGCAGCGAAUACUUGCAGAAGCGCAUGGUGCGCGAUACUCUAUUCAUCCAGGGGCCACUAAGAUGUACCGCGACAUGCUGGAGAUCUUUGGUGGAGUGGGAUGAAGAAAGAUGUUGCAGAGUUUGUGGCUAAGUAAUUUACAUGUCAGCAGGUUAAGAUAGAGCAUCAGAAACCUAGUGCUUCCAUGCAAGAGUUCACCAUUCCUAAUUGGAAGUGAGAAGAAGUUAACAUGGACUUCGUGAUGGGUUUGCCUAGAACUCAUCAUCAACAUGAUUUAGUCUGGGUCAUUAUAGACAGAAUGACCAAGUCAGCUUAUUUUCUUCCUGUUCGUACUUCUUAUUUCACCAAGGAUUAUGCCAAACUCUAUAUCAGGGAGUUAGUUAGAUUACAUGGUGUUCCACUAUCUAUCAUCUCAGACAGAGGUCCCCAGUUCACUUCUCACUUUUGGAAAGCAUUCUAAAAAGGUCUCGAUACCCAAGUCCAUCUCAGCACAGCAUUUCAUCCUCAGACAGAUGGUCAAGCAGAGAGGACCAUUCAGACUCUUAAAGAUAUGCUAAGGGCGUGUGCAAUUAAUUCAAGGGAAGUUGGGAUGACCACUUGCCUUUGAUUGAGUUUGCAUACAACAAUAGCUAUCAUUCUAGUAUUCAGAUGGCUCCAUUCAAAUCUCUCUAUGGUAGGAGAUAUAGAUCUCUGAUUGGUUGGUUUGAAUUUAGUGAGGCCUCAAUCAUAGGUCCUGACUUAGUAUUCGAUGCCUUAGAGAAAGUUCAAUUGAUCAGAAAGAGACUCUGGGCUGCUCAGAGCCGACAGAAGUUCUAUGCAGAUAUUCGUAGAAAGGAUCUCGAGUUUGAGGUCAAUAACUAUGUCUAUCUUAAGAUCUCUCCCAUAAAGGGAGUGAUGAGGUUCGGCAAGAAAGGGAAACUCAGUCCCCAGUAUGUCGGUCCCUUCAGAAUUCUUUGUCGCUUUGGCAAGGUAGCUUAUGAGCUUGAGUUACCUUCAGAUCUAGCCUCAGUCCAUCCAGUCUUCCAUGUCUCUUUGCUAAAGAAGUGCAUAGGUGACCCAGCAGUUGUUGUCCCUAUUCAGAACAUCGACAUCCAGAAUAGCCUCUCUUAUAAAGAGAUUCCAGUCGAAGUCUUAGAUUAUCAAACUCGUAGAUUGAGGAAUAAAGAAGUCCCUCUAGUCAAGGUUCUUUGGUAAAAUUAGUCUCAUGAGGGAGCUACUUGGGAAGCAGAAUUAGAUAUGCGUACCAAGUAUCCUUACCUCUUCCCCACCAAUCAGAUCAAGCUCAAGGUAACAGUUCUCCUUAAUCUUAUUCAGUUUCAGAUUUAUGUUUCCAGUAUAAACUUGGUACCUAUUAACCGUUUCAUACUCAGUCAUGCAUUUAUUUGUCAGUUGUCCGUGCAUUAGAUAUGCACGAGUUCAGUAUGUUUAGCAUGUCAGUCAUGAGAUCAAGUUCCAGUUCUUCAUGUUCAGUUUAGGUUAUAUUGUCUUGUAUCCCUUCUCAGUAAAUUCUCAUUCGAGGACGAAUGUUCCCAAGGGGGAGAUAUUGUAAUACCAUGCAUGUUUCUAAGCUAGGAAGUGAAUAAGUAUUCCUACGUAUGAAAUCUUCUAUCCUGUGGUUCAUACUUGAGUACAUGACUUACAAUGAAUAUUUAGUGAUAGGAUAGUUUAUGAUGCAUUAAGAAUGUUCAUAUGAGUCACUUAAGGUAAUACAAGCUAAGAGUUUUUGAAUCCAUCAAGUUUUAGUGUUCGAUUUUUCAAGGGUCAUCUUUGAACGAGUAUAACUCAAUGUUAAUAUGGUAUUUGGCUGAUUUAGACCCACCAAAUUAUAGAGAAUCUAAUUAUCUUUCCAACAAUACCAAUUUCGCCUUAAUCCAAUACCUGAGCAAAAAGUUAUGCCCAUUUUCGUGAGAGACAGUAAGCAUAGGCAAUUGGUUAGGCGCCGCUCAACCCAAGCAUAGGCGAUUGGUUAGGCGCCGCCCAACCCAAGCAUAGGUGAUUGGUUAGGUGCCGCCCAACCCAAGCAUAGAUGAUCACUUAGGCAACGCCUAAGUCAAUUCCAGGUGUCAAAAACACCCCAUCUUGAGUUAUUUUAAAGGUAAUUAAGUCUUUAAAUACUCCUUACAUGUCCCUAAACUUAACCCUACGAAAUAUAUAUCUUCUAAACAUACUGCAACCCUAUUUUCAUCUCAAAGCUCAUCAUCCAAGAGCACUAAAGGAGAAAAACAACUAGGGUUGCAUAAUUAAGCUUGAAGAUCCGAUUUCAAGGAAAUUCCUCCGUCAAUCAUCAAGAAUCUUCCUUCUAAGGUAUGCGUAGUGUUCAUCCACGGAUUCCUUUCGUCCAUAGAGUUCAAGAAUCAAUCUUUAAAAUACAAAAACUUGGUUGGUUGUGGUGAUAUGAUCAUACCCAUGUUGAUGCUUGUUUGUUUUCCUCUUUUUCAUUAUAAAGUAUGAUUUCUAUAUUGUUGGGUGUUGAUGAUCAUGUUGUUGAUAUUGGGUGAUUCCCAAGAUGGAAUCUUUAUAUAUUUUUUUGAAUUUCAUGAUAUCAUAUGAGUUGGAAACAUGUAAAAAUUUGGUUGUUCAUGAUGUAUAAUUUGAUGAUUUCACCUAUNNNNNNNNNNNNNNNNNNNNNNNNNNNNNNNNNNNNNNNNNNNNNNNNNNNNNNNNNNNNNNNNNNNNNNNNNNNNNNNNNNNNNNNNNNNNNNNNNNNNNNNNNNNNNNNNNNNNNNNNNNNNNNNNNNNNNNNNNNNNNNNNNNNNNNNNNNNNNNNNNNNNNNNNNNNNNNNNNNNNNNNNNNNNNNNNNNNNNNNNNNNNNNNNNNNNNNNNNNNNNNNNNNNNNNNNNNNNNNNNNNNNNNNNNNNNNNNNNNNNNNNNNNNNNNNNNNNNNNNNNNNNNNNNNNNNNNNNNNNNNNNNNNNNNNNNNNNNNNNNNNNNNNNNNNNNNNNNNNNNNNNNNNNNNNNNNNNNNNNNNNNNNNNNNNNNNNNNNNNNNNNNNNNNNNNNNNNNNNNNNNNNNNNNNNNNNNNNNNNNNNNNNNNNNNNNNNNNNNNNNNNNNNNNNNNNNNNNNNNNNNNNNNNNNNNNNNNNNNNNNNNNNNNNNNNNNNNNNNNNNNNNNNNNNNNNNNNNNNNNNNNNNNNNNNNNNNNNNNNNNNNNNNNNNNNNNNNNNNNNNNNNNNNNNNNNNNNNNNNNNNNNNNNNNNNNNNNNNNNNNNNNNNNNNNNNNNNNNNNNNNNNNNNNNNNNNNNNNNNNNNNNNNNNNNNNNNNNNNNNNNNNNNNNNNNNNNNNNNNNNNNNNNNNNNNNNNNNNNNNNNNNNNNNNNNNNNNNNNNNNNNNNNNNNNNNNNNNNNNNNNNNNNNNNNNNNNNNNNNNNNNNNNNNNNNNNNNNNNNNNNNNNNNNNNNNNNNNNNNNNNNNNNNNNNNNNNNNNNNNNNNNNNNNNNNNNNNNNNNNNNNNNNNNNNNNNNNNNNNNNNNNNNNNNNNNNNNNNNNNNNNNNNNNNNNNNNNNNNNNNNNNNNNNNNNNNNNNNNNNNNNNNNNNNNNNNNNNNNNNNNNNNNNNNNNNNNNNNNNNNNNNNNNNNNNNNNNNNNNNNNNNNNNNNNNNNNNNNNNNNNNNNNNNNNNNNNNNNNNNNNNNNNNNNNNNNNNNNNNNNNNNNNNNNNNNNNNNNNNNNNNNNNNNNNNNNNNNNNNNNNNNNGUUCUUCAGAUUUCAGUAUAUACAGGACUGUCAGAUACAGUCGUCCAUGUUAUCAGUUUCAGUAUCAGUCAUGACAGUUAUCAGUAAACCAUGUAUUAGCUUACAGGUCAUGCUAUCACGUAUUCACGGUCCAAUUUUCUAUAUAUGUGUGUUUGCACUCCCAUGUUCAUAUUAGUCAGUCAGUGUUGCUCAUGCAUGAAACCCUUUAUGUUCAGCCUACCUUCCUCGUAUACUCAGUACUCCAGCUGUAUUGAUGCAUUUGCGCUGUGGUGCUUUCUUUUCAUGUUACAUUAUAGGUUCCGAGGCACGAGCUCCAGCCCAACAGUAGCGGUAGCAUUACAGUCGUAGAGACAUAGUGCGUCCUCAUUAAUUCGAGGACAAUAUGAUUUGAUUCAUUUAUUUAUUCCUUAGUUUAGUUUUACGGAGUUAGUUGGAGACAUGUUCCUUCAACUCCUUAUUCAGAUAGUUUAGAGGCUUUCAGAUUUUCGUUCAGAUUUAGUUGUUUUGGGUAUUUUCACCCACAUGAUUGUAUUCAGUUGAACCUUAUGGCCUUACAGUUCCAUGUAUUCCGCAUUAUUAUAUUAUGAUUUGCAAUAUACAUGUACAGAUAUUAGUCAUGGGUUAGCUUGUGGUUCCUCGGGGUCAUGAGCACCGUGUAGCAUUCCGGUUCUGUAAAUCGGGGUGUUACAAACUUGGUAUCAAAGCCUAAGGUUCAAUAGAGUCCUAGGAAGUCUGAAAGCCGCAUCUAGUAGUCUUAUACAUGGGUAUGUUGCGCGCCACAUUUAUGUGCGGGAGGCUAUAAGAUGUUUUAGGAAUAGUCCCCUUUCUUCAUUAUUCAUGUCAUGCUAGUGAGCAUAAUCACAAGUUAAACUCUCAGUCUAAUCCAUUCUUCUCUUAUUCCAGGCCAUGGCCCCAAAGAGAAGGAACCAACCAGCUCCUCAACCCGAAGAUCCUUUGGGGGAACAUAUUUCCCACGCGGAGUUUAGAGCCGCAUUUACCACACUUGCUCAGUCCAUGGCUGCACAGAAUGAACGACCACCAGUCAUUCCGGCCAAUCCAGUGGCCACUCCCAAAGUAGCUAGGGUUUGGUACUUCACCUGAAUGAACCCUCCGUUUAUCCAUGGGUCUAAUUCUUAUGAGGACCCUCAGGAGUUCAUUGACUGUGGGCUAUAACACUCCGAUUUGGCCUGAAAAUGCCCCGUUCGCAUCAUUUCGAUCGUUUGUCCACCUAAAUGGUCACGAAAAACUAAACGAACCACACUGGGACGAUCCCUAAACUUUCUGGCACACCUCAUUCAAUUUUUGGCCCACAGCACGCCCGAACCCUGAGCCCACCUCCAAAACCGUGGGCUAUAGCACACUGAUUUGGCCCAAAAAAGCCCCGUUUCGCCCGUCUGUCCACCCAAAUGGCCACGAAAAAUUAAUCGGACCACACUAGUACGAUCCCCAACCUCCAUGGCACACCCCGAUCGAGUUUUGGCCAACUACAUGCCCGGACCCCAGACCCACCCCCAAAACAAUAGGCUAUAGCACAUCAAUUUGUUCGAAAAAUACCCAGUUCGCGCCGUUUCACCCGUUUGUCAACCCAAAUGGCCAUGGAAAAUUUAACGGACCAUACUGGGAUGAUAUCCAACCUCUCUAGCAUGUCUCGGUAUGUUUUCGACCCACAACAAGCCCAGACCCCGGGUGCACCCCCAAAACCUUGGGCUAUAGCACACCUAUUUGGCCUGAAAAUGACCCAUUCACACCGUUUUGCCCGUUUGUUCAUCCAAAUGGCCACGAAAAAUUAAACAGACCACACUGGAUAAUCCCCUACCUCCCUGGAACGUCUCGAUCAAUUUUAGGCCAACAGCAUGCCCUGACUCCGGGCCUACCCCCAAAAUCGUGGGCUAUAGCACACCAAUUUGGCCUGAAAAUGCCCCGUUUGCGUCGUUCAUCCGUUUGUCCACCCAAAUGGUGACGAAAAAUUAAACGGACCACACAUGGAUGAUCCCCAAUCUCCCUGGCAUGUCUCGAUCGAUUUUUGGCCAACAUCAUGCCUAUACCUCGGGCCCACCCCCAAAACUGUGGGCAACAACACACCGAUUUGGGUUGAAAAUACGUCGUUCAUGCCGUUUUGCCCGUUUGUCAACCAAAUGGCCAUGAAAAAUAAAAAGGACCUCACUGGAACUAUCCCCAAUAUCCCUGGCACUCCCCGAUCGAUUUUUGUCCCAAAGAACUCCUGAACCCCGAGCCCAUCCCCGAAACCGUGGGCUAUAACACACCAUUUUGGCCGAAAAAUGCCCCCUUCAUGCCGUUUUGCCCGUUUGUCCACCCAAAUGGCCAUGAAAAAUUAAACGGACCAUACUGGGAUGAUUCCCAACAUCCCUGGCACGCCUCGAUCAAUUUUUGGCCUACAACACGCCCGAACCCCAAGCCUACCCCCGAAACCGUGGGCUAUAGCAUACCGAUUUGGCUGAAAAAUGCCCCCUUCGCGUCGGUUUGCCCGUUUGUCCACCCAAAUGGUCGUAAAAAAAUUAAAUGGACCACACUGGGAUGAUCCCCAACCUCCCUGGCAUGCCCCGACCAUGGGACCCAGGCCCACCCUUGAAACCCUGAGCUAUAACACACUGAUUUGGCCUGAAAAUACCCCGCUCGCGUUGUUUCACCUGUCGAAAAUGCCAUAAAAAAUUAAAUAAACCACACUGGGACGAUCUACAACUUCCCUGUCACAACCCAGUCGAUUUUCAGGCCACUGCAAGCCCAUACCCCAGGCCCACACCCAAAAUCAUGGGCUAUAGAACACCAAUUUUGCCCGAAAAUGCCCCGUUCGCGUCGUUGUGCCUGUUAGUUCACCUAAAUGGCCACAAAAAAUUAAACGGACCACACUGGGAUGAUCCCAGAACUCCCUGGCAUGCCCCGAUCAAUUUUUCGCCAACAGCAUGCCCAGAGCUCGAGACCACUGCCAAAACUGUAGGCAAUAGCACAUCGAUUUGGUACGAAAAUACCCCAUUCGCGUCAUUUCGCUCGUUUGUCCACCCAAAUGGCCAUAAAAAAUUAAACGGACCACACUGGGACGAUCCCCAACCUCCCUGGCAUGCCCCGAAUAAUUUUUAGCCCACAGCACACCCAAAACCCGAGCCCACCCCUUGAAAUCGUGGGCUAAAGCACAUCGAUUUGGUCCGAAAAUGCCCUGUUUGCACCAUUUCGCCCGUUUGUCCAUAAAAAUGGCUACGAAACAUUAAACGGAUCAUACUGGGACAAUCCCCAACCACCGUAGCAUGCCUCGGUUGAUUUUAGGCCCACAGGAUGCCCGGACCCCGGGCCUACCCCUAAAACCGUGGGCUAUAGCACACCGAUUUUGCCCGAAAAUGUCGUGUUUGCGCCGUUUCGCCCGUUUGUCCACCCAAAUGGCUACGAAAAGUUAAACGGACCACACUGGGACUAUCCCCAACCACCCUGGCACUCCCCAAUAUAUUUUUGGCCCACAGCACGCCCGGACCCCGGGCCCACCCAGAAACUGUGGGCUAUAGCACACCAAUUUGGCCCAAAAAUGCCCCGUUCGCGUCGUUUCGAUCGUUUGUCCAUCCAAAUGGCUACGAAAAAUUAAACGGACCACAUGGGGAUGAUUCUGAACUUCCUUGGCACACCCCGAUCGAUUUUCGGUGAAUAGCAUGCCCGUACAUCAAGUCCUCCCCCAAAAUCAUGGGCUAUAACACACCGAUUUAGCCCGAAAAUGUCCCGUUCAUGCGCGUUUCGCUCAUUGUCCACCCAAAUAGCACACAAUUUUCUCUUUGGAUAUAGUACACCGAAAAUGUCUCAUUCGCGCCAUUUCUCCUGUUUGUCCACCCAAAUGUCUAUGAAAAAUUAAACGGACCAUACUAGGACGAUCCCCAACCUCCCCUAGCAAGCGCUGAUCGAUUUUUAUUCGAUAGCACGCCCGAACCCCGGGGUCACCCCUAAAACCAUGGGCUAUAGCACACUGAUUUCGCCCAAAAAUGCCCCGUUUGCGCCGUUUCACCCGUUUAUCCACCCAAAUUGCCACGAAAAAUUAAACGGACCACACUGGGACGAUCCCCAAACUCCCUGGCAUGCCCCGAUCGAUUUUUGGCCCAUAGCACGCCUGGACACUGGCCCCAACCCUAAACUGGGACAAUCCCCAACCUCCCUGGCAUGCCCCGAUCAAUUUUUGGCCCAUAGCACGCCCGGACCCUGGGCCCAACCCUGAAAUUGUGGACUAUAGCAUACCGAUUUAGCAAGAAAAUGCCCCGUUUGUGCUGUUUCGUCCGUUUAUCGACCCAAAUGGCUACGAAAAAUUAAACAGACCAUACUGGGAUGAUCCCCAACCUCCCUGGCAUGCCCCGAUCAUUUUUUGACCCACAGUACACCUGGACCCCGGGCCCACCCCCAAAAUCGUGGGCUAUAGCUCACCGAUUUAUCUGAAAAAUGCCUCGUUCACGCUGUUUCGCCCGUUUGUCCACCCAAAUGGCAAACUAAAAUUAAACGAACCACACUAGGACUAUCUCGAACCUCCCUAUCCUGCCUCGAUCGAUUUUUUGCCCACAGCACACCCGGACCCUGGGCCCACCCCCAAAAUCAUGGGCUAUAGCACACCAAUUUGGUCUAAAAAUGCUACAUUCACGAUGUUUCGCCCAUUUGUACACCCAAACAGUCACGAAAAAUUAAAUUGACCACACUGGGACGAUCCCUAGCAUACCUGGCAUGCCCCGAUCAAUUUUUGGCCCACAGCAUGCCUGAACACCGGGCCCACACAAAAACUGUGGGUUAUGCACACCGAUUUGGCCCAAAAAUAUCCCGUUCGCGUAGUUUUGCCUAUUUUUCCACCUAAAGGUCCACAAAAAAUUAAAUGGACCACACUGGAACGAUCUCCAACCUCCCUCACACGCCCCAAUGAAUUGUUUCCCCAUAGUACGCCUGAAAUCCGAGCUUACCUCCGAAACCGUGGGCUAUAGCACACUGAUUUGGCCCGAAAACAAGUCGUUCCUGCCGUUUUGCCCGUUUACCCAUCUAAAUGGCCACGAAAAAUUAAACGUACCACACUGGGAGGAUCCCCAACCUCCCCGGCAUGCCUUUGUUAAUUUUUGGCCCAAAGCACGCCCGGACCUCGGGUCCACCCCCAAAACCGUGGGUUAGCUCACCGAUUUGGCCAGAAAAUAUCUCGUUCGCGUCGUUUCGCCUGUUUGUCCACCUAAAUGGCCACAAAAAAUUAAACGGACUACACUGGGAUGAUCCCCAACCUCCCUGGCACGUCUAAGUCAAUUUUUGGCCCACAGUACGUCAGGACCCCGGGUCCACCCCUGAAACCGUGGGCUAUAGCACACCAAUUUGACCCAAAAAUGCCCUGUUCUCAUCGUUUCGCUCGUUUGUCCACCCAAAUGGCUACAAAAAGUUAAACGGACCAUACUGGGACUAUCAUCAACCAUCCUGACAUGCCUCGAUCGAUUUUUGGCCCACAGGAUGCUCGAACCCCGGGCCUACCACCAAAGCCGUUGGCUAUAGCAGAUCGAUUUGGCCCGAAAGUGCCCAGUUCGCUCUGUUUCUCCUGUUUAUCCACCCAAAUAUCUACGAAAAGUUAAACGGACCACACGGGGAUGAUCCCCAACUACCCUAGCACGACGCAGUUUAUUUUUAGCCCACAGAACGCCCGAGGCCACCCCAAAACAUGUGGGUUAUAGCACACCGAUUUAGCUUGAAAAUGCCCCUUUCAUGUCGUUUCGAUCGAUUGUCCAUACAAAUGACCACAAAAAAUUAAACGGACCACACGGGGAUGAUUUCCAACCUCCAUGGCACACCCCGGUCGAUUUUCGGCCCACAGCACGCCCGGAUCCUAAGUCCACCCCCAAAAUCAUGGGCUAUAGCACAUCGAUUUGGACCGAUAAUUCCCCGUUCGAGCGCGAUUUGCUCAUUUGUCCACCCAAAUAGCACACAUUUUCCUUUUGGGCUAUAGUACAUCGAAAAUGCCUCGUUCGCACCAUUUCGCUCAUUUGUCUACCCAAAUGGCCAUGAAAAAUUAAACGGACCAUACUGGGACGAUCCCCAACCUCCCUAGCAUGCCCCGAUCAAUUUUUAGCCCACAGCACGCCCAAACCCCGGGCUUACCCCCAAAAUCGUGGACUAUAUUGCACACCAAUUUAGCAAGAAAAUACCCUGUUCGCACCAUUUUGCCCGUUAAUCGACCCAAAUGGCCACGAAAAAUUAAACAGACCACACUGGGAUGAUCCCCAACCUCCCUGGCACGCCCCGAUCAUUUUUGGCCAAUAGCACGCCCGAAACCUGGGUCCACCCCCAAAAUUGUAGGCUAUAGCACACCGAUUUGGCUCGAAAAUGCACCGUUCGCACCGUUUCGCCCGUUUUUCCACCUAAAAUGGCCACAAAAAAUUAAACGGACCACACUGGGAUGAUCCCCAACCUUCCUGGCAUGCUCUGAUCGAUUUUCAGCCCAAAGCACGCUCGGACCCCGGCCCACCCCUGAAACUAUGGGUUAUAAAACACCAAUUUGGCCCGAAAAUGCUCCGUUUGCGCCGUUUCGCCCGUUUGUCCACCCAAAUGGCCACAAAAAAUUAAACGGACCACACUGGGAUGAUCCCCAACCUUCCUGGGAUGCCCUGGUCGAUAUUUGACCCACAACACGCCCAAACCCUAGGUCCACCACCAAAACCGUGGGCUAUAGCACAUCGAUUUGGCCCAAAAAUGUCCCAUUCGUGCCGUUUUGCCCGUUUGUCCACCCAAAUAGUCAAGAAAAAUUAAACUAACCACACUAGGACCAUCGCGAGCCUCCCUAGAAUGGUCCGGUUGAUUUUUGGCCUAUAGCAAGCCCGAACCUCGGGCCUUCCCCCAAAACCGUGGGCUAUAGCACACCAAUUUGGCCCGAAAAAUGCCACAUUCGAGCCGUUUCGCCCAUUUGUCCACCCAAAUGGCCACGAAAAAUUAAACGAACCACACUUGGAUGAUCCUCAACCUACCUGGCAUACCCCAAUCAAGUUUUUGCCCACAACAUGCCCGAACACUGGGCCCUCCCUAAAAUUAUGGGCUAUACCACACCGAUUAGGCCAAAAAAUGCCUCGUUUGCGCCGUUUUGACUGGUUUUCCACUAAAAUAGCCACAAAAAAUUAAAUGGACCACACGGGGACGAUCGCCAACCUCCCUAGCACGCCCCGGUCAAUUUUUGGCCUACAGCACACCCGGACCCUGGGCUCACUCCCGAAACCGUGGGCUAUAGCACACCAAUUUGGCCCAAAAAUAAGCCGUUUGUGCCGUUUUGCCUGUUAAGCCACCCAAAUGGCCAUGAAAAAUUAAACAGAGCACACUGGGAUGAUCCCCAACCUCCCUGGCACGCCCCGGUCGAUUUUUGGCCAAAAGCACGCUCGGACUCCGGGCCCACCACCAAAAUAGUGGGCUGUAGCACACCGAUUUGGCCUAAAAUUGCCUCGUUCUUGUCGUUUUGAGUAGGUUGAUUUUUGGCACACAGCAUGCCCGGACCCCGGACACACCCCCAAAACGGUAGGCUAUAGCACACCGAUUUGGUCCGAAAAUGCCCCGUUCGUGACAUGUCGCCCCUUUGUCCACCCAAAUAGCCACAAAAAAUUAAACGGACCACACUAGGACGAUCCUCAACCUCCCUGGUAUGCCCCGAUCGAUUUUCGACACACAGCACGCCCGGACCCUAGGCCCACCCCUGAAACUGUGGGCUAUAGCACCCCAAUUUAGCCUGAAAAUAACUCGUUUGCCCCAUUUCUCCCAUUUGUCCACCCAAAUGGCCACGAAAAAUUAAAUGGACCACACCGGGACUAUUCCCAACCUCCCUGGCAGCCCCGAUCAAUUUUUGCCCCACAGCACGCUCGAACCUCGGGCCCACCCCCGAAACUGUGAGCACACAAAUUUUUCUAGAAAAUGCUCCGUUCAUGCCGUUUCUCCCAUUUGUUCACCAAUUUGGCCCGAAAAUACCUCGUUCGCGCCGUUUUGCCCGUUUGUCCUCCCAAAUAGCUAUGGAAAAUUAAACGGGCUACAUGAAAAAUUAAACGGACUACACUAGAAUGAUCUCCAACCGCCCUGGCAUGCCCCAAAUGAUUUUUGGCCCACAUCACGCCCGUACCCCGGGCUCACCCCAAAAUCAUCAGCUAUAGCACACCGAUUUGGCUCGAAAAUACCCAACUCGUGCAAGUAUGCCCGUUUGUACACCCAAAUGACCACAAAAAGUUAAACGAACCACACUGGGACGAUUCCUAACCUUCUUGGCACACCCCGGUCGAUGUUCGUCCCACAAGAUGCUCGGACCUCGAGCCCACCCCCAAAACCGGUGGAUACGACACACUGAUUUUGCCCAAAAAUGCCCCGUUCGCGCCGUUUCACCCGUCUUAUCCACCCAAAUGGCCACAAAAAAUUAAAGGGACCACACUGGGAUGAUCCCCAAUCUCCCUGGCAUGGCCCAGUCGAUUUUUGACCCACAAAACACCCGGAUCCUUGGCCCACCCGCAAAACAGGCUAUAGCACAUAGGUUUGGUCCAAAAAUGCCUUGUUCGUGCCGUUUCGACCGUUUGUCCACCCAAAUGGCCACGAAAAAUUAAUCGGACCACACUGGGACGAUCCCCAGCCUCCCUAGCACACCCCGAUCAACUUUUGGCCCACAACACGCUUGGACCCCGAGCCCACCACCAAAACCGUGGGCUAUAGCACACCGAUCUAGCCUAAAAAUGCCCCAUUCGCAUCGUUUUACCUGUUUAUCCUCUCAAAUGGCCACGAAAAAUUAAACAAACCACAUUGGGAUGAUCCUCAAUCUCCCUGGAACGCCCCGGUCAAUUUUCCAUCCACAACAAGCCCGAACCCUGGGCCCACCCCCAAAACAUGUGGGUUAUAGCACACCAAUUUGGCAUAAAAAUGCCCUAGUUGUGCCAUUUCGCCCAUUUGUCCACCCAAAUGGCCACAAAAAAUUAAACGAACCACUCUAAGACAAUCCCCUACCUCCUUGGCACGCCCCGUCCGAUUUUUAACCCACAACACGCCCGGAUCCCAUGCCCACCCCCAAAACUAUGGGCUAUAACACACCGAUUUGGCCCGAAAAUACUCUGUUCGCACUGUUUCAUCUGUUUGUCCACCAAAAUAGCCACGAAAAAACAAACGGACCACACUGGAACGAUCCCUAAUAUCCCUAGCAUUCCCCGGUUAAUUUUUGGCCCACAGCACGCCCGGACCCUGGGCCCACCUAAAAAAUUAUGGGCUAUAGUACACCGAUUUGGCCCGAAAAAGCUUCAUUUGCGCCGUUUCACCCGUUUGUCCACCCAAAUGGCCACGAAAAAUUAAACGGACCACACUAGGAUGAUCCCCAACCUCUCUGACAUGCCCCGAUUGAUUUUCUACCCACAACACGCCCGAACUCCAGGCCCACCAUUAAAACCGUUGGCUAUAUCGCAUCGAUUUUGUCCAAAAAUACCCCGUUUGAGCCAUUUCGCUUAUUAGUCCACCCAAAUGGCCACAAAAAAUUAAACGGACCACACUGGGAUGAUCCCCAACCUCCUUGGCACGCACCGAUCGAUUUUAAGCCAACAACACGCUCGAACCCUGGGUCUACCCCCAAAACCAUAAGAUAUAACACACUGAUUUGGCUAAAAAAUGCCCCGUUCGCGCUAUUUCGCCCGUUUGUCCUUCCUAAUAGCCACAAAAAAUUUAACGAACCAUAUUGGGUCGAUCCAAAACCUUCCUGGCAUGCCUCGAUUAAUUUUUGGCACACAGCACGCCCAGAACCUGGGCCCACCUCCAAAACUGUGGGCUAUAGCACAUCAAUUUCGCUCGAAAAUGCCCUGUUCGCGCUGUUUCGCCCGUUUGUCCACACAAAUGGCCAUGAAAAAUUAAACGAACCACACUACGACAAUCCCCAACCUUCCUGUCACGCCCAGGUCAAUUUUUGGCCCACAGCACACCCGAACCCCAAGACCACCUCCUAAAUCAUAGGGUAUAGCACACCAAUUUAGCCCGAAAAUACCCCGUUCGCACCAUUUUGCAUGUUUAUCCUCCCAAAUGGCCACAAAAAAUUUAACGGGCUACACUGGGAUGAUCCCCAACCUUCCUGGCAAGCCCCGGUCAAUUUUCAGGCCACAACACCCCUGGGCCCACCCCCAAAAUCGUGGGCUAUAGCACACCGAUUUGGCUCAAAAAUGUCCCGUUCGUGCUGUUUCGCCCGUUUGUCCACCCAUACAGCCACGAAAAAUUAAAUGGAUUAAACUGGGAUAAUCUCCAACCUCCCUGGCUCACCUCGGUGGAUUUUUAACCCACAGCACGCUUGAACCCCGCACCUACCCCCGAAACCAUGAGCUAUAGCACACAGAUUUAUCUUGAAAAUGCCCUGUUCGUGUAGUUUUGCCCGUUUGUCCACCCAAAUGACGAUAAAAAAUUAAAUGGACCACACUGGGAUGAUCCCCAACCUCUUUGGCAUGCCCCGAUUGAUUUUCAGCUUAUAGCACGCCUGAAACCCGAGCCCAACCCCGAAAUCGUGGGCUAUAGCACAUCGAUUUGGCCCAAAAAUGCCUCGUUUGUGAUGUUUUGCCCGUUUGUCCACCCAAAUGGCCACAAAAAAUUAAACGGACCACACUGGGAUAAUUCCCAACCUCGUUGGCACGUCUCGGUAGAUUUUUAGCCCACAACAUGUUUGGACCCCGGGCCUAGCCUCAAACUGUGAGUUAUAGCACACUGAUUUGGCUCGAAAAAUGCCUCGUUCGAGCCGUUUCGCCCGUUUGUCCGCCCAAAUGGCCACAAAAAACUAAACGAACCAUACUGGGAUGAUCCCCAACCUCUCUGGUAUGCCCCGACCCCAGGCCCCUGGCCCACCCCUGGAACCGUGGACUUUAACAAACCGAUUUGCCCCAAAAAUGCCCCGUUUACGUUGUUUCACCCCUAUGUCCACCCAAAUAGCCACAAAAAAUUAAACGAACCACAUUGGGAUGAUUCCCAACCUCCCUGGCACACUCCGGUUGAUUUUUGGCCCACAGCACGCUCGAAACCUGGGUCCAUCCCCAAAACCCUGGGCUAUAACACUCCAAUUUGGUCUGAAAAUUCCUCGUUCUCACCCUUUUGCCCGUUUGUCCACCCAAAUAGCCACAAAAAAACUAAACGGAUAAUACUGGAACGAUCCCCAACCUCCCUGGCACACUUCGAUCAAUUUUCAGCCCACAAUACGCUCGGACCCCGGGCCCACCCCCAAAACCGUGGUCUAUAACACACUGAUUUGGCCUGAACAUGCCCCGUUCGCGCUAUUUUACCUGUUUCUUCACCCGAAUGGCCACGAAAAAUUAAACGGACCACACUGGGACGAUACCCUACCUCCCUGGCAUACCCCGAUCAAUUUUUGGCCCACAACACUCUCGAGCCCCUGGCCCACCCCUAAAAUCAUGGGAUAUAGCACACCAAUUUUGCUCGAAAAUGGUCUGAUCGCGUCGUUUCACCCGUUUGUCCCCCUAAAUUGCCACAAAAAAUUAAACAGACCACACUGAGAUGAUCCUCAAUAACCUGGCAUGCUCCGGUUGAUUUUUGGCCCACAGCAUGCUUGGACCUCGAGCCCACCACCAAAACAAUGGGCUAUAGCACACUGAUUUGGCCCGAAAAUGCUCCGUUUGCGCCGUUUUGCCUGUUUGUCCACCUAAAUGGCUAUGAAAAAUUAAACGGACAGCACUGGAUUGAUCCCCAACCUCCCUGGCAUGCCCCGGUUGAUUUUCGGCACACAGCACGCCCGAACCACAGGCCCACACCCAAAAUCGUGGGCUAUAGCACAUCGAUUUGGCCUAAAACGCCCUGUUCGAGCCGUUUCACCCAUUUGUCCACCCAAAUGGCCACGAAAAAUUAAACGGACCACAAUGGGAGGAUCCCCAACCUCCCUGGCAUGCCCUGAUUGAUUUUUGGUCUACAGCACGCUCGGACCCCGGGCCCACCCCCGAAACCACGGGCUAUAGCACAUAAAUUUGGCCUGAAAAUGCCCUAUUCACGUCGUUUCGCCCGUUUGUCCACCCAAAUUGCCACGAAAAAUUAAACGAACCACACUAGGAUGAUCCCCAACUACCCUGGCAUGCCCAGGCCAAUUUUUAGCCCACAUCAGGCAAGGACCUCGGGCCCACCCCUAAAACCGUGGGCUAUAACACACCGAUUUAGCCCAAAAAUGCCCGUUCGCACCGUUUCGUCCGUUUGUCCACCCAAAUGGCCAAAAAAAUUAAACUGACCACACUGGGUCAAUCCCCAACCUCCCUGGCAUACCCCGAUCGAUUUUCGGCCCCCAGCACGCCCAAGCCCCGAGCCCACCCCUAAAACCGUGGGCUAUAGCACACCGAUUUGUCUUGAAAAUGUCCCAUUCGUGUCGUUUCGACCAUUUGUCCAUCCAAAUAGCUACAAAAAAUUAAACGGAUCACACUGGAAUGAUCCUCAACCUCCCUGGCAUGCCCCAGUCAAUUUUUGGCCUACAGCACGCUCGGACCCUGGGCCCACCCCCAAAACCGUGGGCUAUAGCACACCAAUUUGGCCCAAAAAUACAACCUUACCCUACGACAUAAAACACCAAAAACACGUACUUAGCUAUUGUAAUUUAGUUUUAAAAGCUCUUAACCCUCUUUGUUUCCAAGAACAAACUUAGGGUUUCUUCUCAAUUAACUUUAAGACCCCAUUACACCCUCCACAAGAUAUUCAAGAAUUAUGACUCCCAAUCCAAGAACAUUCAAGAAAGGUCAAUUGUCUUUCAAGAUUCAAGCACCAAGGUAUGUGUAGUGUUCAUCCAUGGAUCCCUUUCAUCCAUGGAGCUCAAGAAUCAUGUUUUAAAUAAUGAAUUGUGAUUAUCUUGUUGUGGUAUGAUUAUGUUCAUGUUGAUGGUUGUUAUUUGGGUUUCAAGAGAGUAUAUUAAUCUAUUUUCAUGAAGUAUGUGAGCAUGUUAGUUGAAAUCCAUGAAUUUGGGUGGUUUGAUAUUGCUAAAUUAAUAAGUACACCUAUGCCCAAAAUUGUGCAUGUAAGGUGUUUGAUGAAAUGCCUAGAAUGAUAAAAACAAUGUUUUCAUGACUCAAUAGUGUUUAAAUAACAAGCCUAUGCUCUAUCCCUUUUUAUUCAACAUGAAUUCCAUGCUAUGGUUGUGUGUUGAUUGUUGUGAUAUGGAAUGCUCAUGACAUUGAAGUUAUGUAAAUGAUUACAUGUCAUAUGCAUUCCCUUCCAUGUAUAAGAUGUUGUAAACCAUUUGUAGUAUGAAAUCCCCUACUUAUGGCAUUAUGAAUUGUGAACUUUGUUUCUAUGAUCAAGAAGUGUCAUGUGGUGUCAGUUUUCUUUCAUUGAGUCUUGGGGGUACUUGUACCCAAAAAAUAUAGUUGUGUACCUAGAGCCAGUGUCAUGUUUCCACGAUAUCCACGGUCAAGCCAUGUUCAGUAGAAUUCAGUCAGUCAUGUGACUCAAGAAAUCUCAGUAAUCUCAGGAGCUCAGCUAACUAUCAGAUAUUAGUAGUAUUCCAUCAAUUAAUGAAAUUCAAUAAACUCAGUCCGUGUAUAGUCAGUUAAUCAUGUUCAGUCUCUUUAGAUGGGAGUAGAAAUUAGCACCAAGUGAACCCAAGGAUGGGAACACACACUGUCAGAUGAGGGUGUGAUUCUUAGCAGUCAUCCUUGCAUUCCAGAACUAUGUAGCCAGCAUAGGUUGAGAUAUCAAUACUAUCAGAUGAGGGUUGAUGAUGUGGAUAAGCACUGUCAGAUGAGGGCCCCACCAUUUUCUUUUAGUGACACUGUCAGAUGAGGUUACCCACAGCUUGUCUUUACCAGUGGCGCGGUAUUGACACCCUUAUAGUCAGGGCAGAGAUUGGACCCCAGCUUAGCUAUAAUAGCAUAUAUGGGGCAUGUUGGUUAAAUAACUACUUCCUACAAUUUCAGUAUCAGUCUCAGUAAAAGAACUCAGAUAGUUUUUCAGAUUUUAGGACUGUCAGCUACAGUCGACUCAGAUACCGUACGGAACCCAGAUAGUUCCAUUAGAUUCAGGACUAUCAGAUACACUCACCUAUGUUAUCAGUUAUAUCAGUCAUGUUAGAUAUCAGUACACACACAUUAUCAGUAUACAGAUUCAGUUAUGAUGUUCUCACGAUUUUAGUUACUAUGUAUUCAUGUAUGUAUUCUCACAUUCAUAAUAGUCAGUCAGAUAUUAUUGUUCAUGCAUAUAAACCCCAUGCAUUCAGCCUACCUCACUUGCAUACUCAGUACAUUCAAACGUACCGAUGCAUUUGUGCUAUGGUGUUUCUUUUUAUUUUACACCAUAGGUUCAGAGACACGACUUCUAGAUCAGCAACAACAGUAGCAUUUCAGUACUCCGAGUUUUAGCUGUGAGUCCUCAUUCUCUGAGGACGUGAUCGUAUUUCAUCAUUUCAGUAUUUAGUUUCUUUCAGUAGUGGAGUUAGUUAGGGACAUGUCCCAUCAACUCCUUAUUUAGACAGUAGAGGCUUUCCAGACUAUCAUGUUUCAGACUUCAGCAUUUCAGUUUUAUUUUGGUAUUGUGAUACCACUUUAUUCAGACAUUGUUAUUAUUUAGAUUUUGUUCAGUAUUGAACCUUAUGGCCUUUAGUUUAUGUUUCCGCAUUUAUAUACAUAUAUUAUGCAGUGUACAAGUACAGAUAUCUGUCAUGGGUUAGCUUGUGAUCCUUUGGGGUCAUGAGCAUCGUGUAGCAUUCCAGGCACUAGGCUCGGGGCGUUACAGAUGCCUACCACCUAUCAGCUCUCACCGGACCAGGGCUAGAAUGGAUGGAAAGAUCAAAUCACCUAGUGUUUAUCUCUAUUGGGAAUUGAACCUGAGACCUCAUGGUGAUCAACCCAACUUCAUUGAAUCACUAGGCUACAUUCUUGGAUGCUUAUUCUUUUAAUAUUUAAUUUCAACAGAAAAUGUUGUUAGGGUUUUGCCUGAUUUUCUUACCAAGUUUAAGUUUUACUUUUUUUGAAAGAAAAAUAAAAGUAAUAUCAUAAUUACUUUUUACUUUUUCUGAAAGGAAAAUAUAAUUCUUUUUCACUUAGGUGGGUGUCUUAUUUUCGAUGUCCUAUUUCUUAUCUCUUAUUCCAUAUUACGCUUAUUUAUCUUAUUUCAUAUUGCUCUGAUUUUUAUUUUAUUAUGUCUUAUUCCUUAUUUAUGUUAUGCCAUCCAUCCUGCUUCAUGUUUCAUUACGCUCUUGUUUACUAUCCUUUAUCUUGAGCCGGAGGUCUAUCAGAAACAACAUCUCUACUUCUUCGGAGUUAGCGGUAUAGACUGCGUACAUUUUACCCUCCUCAGACCCCACUUUGUGGGAAUACACUGGGUUUAUUGUUGUUGUUGUAUUUGACUAAAAUUUUGAAAUGCUAUAAAUAAAAGACAUCCCUUCUCAUACAAUAAUAGAAUAGUAUCCACAAUGUAAUCGUUUGUAGUCGUUUUAAGAGUCUUGUUUAGAGGGAGAUUUUCUCCCAACGCUUUUUAUGUUUUCUUUAAUAUUAGUUUUCAUGUGUAAGCCAAUUGGCCAAACCAUAUCAAUAAUAUGUAUUUUUAACAUUGUUUUUGUGUCGUCUGAAUUAUCGUCUACAUGAUUUGCAAACUUUAAGCUUCCGCAUGACGUCCUCUCGAUUUCGAACCCAACAAAUGUUGGAGUAACCGAUAAGGUUGUUGUCACGAGACCAAGAGGCUACAAAUUCAAAUCGUGGAAACAACAUCGUGUAGAAAUGCAAGGCAAGACUGCGUACGGUAAACACAUGCAUAGCGGAAGUUUUAGUGCAUCGGAUUGUUUUUUAUUUAUUUUAUUUUAUUUUUAGUAAUAACUUUAUCGAAGGGUAUAGUUGUCUUCGUAUGGAAUGUAGGUUACGGUUACGGAGUCGAGUCGUGAGAGUAUUUAGUAAGUAUUGCGUUAUGAUAGACUGUAUAUAUCACAUCUUUUGCAGUGUGGCCUUGCCCUUUAUUCGAACCCUACCAAUGCGGGAUAUUUUGUAAAUUGUACGCCGAGUUGUCCUUUUAAUCACUUAAUACAUUUCACUUAAUAUUCCUUCAGAAUUUCAAUUAAAGAUUAUAAUUAACUAUAUAAUUUGUGCACCGAGCUACUCUUAAUACAUUUGACAUGAUAUUCUUAUCUGGUACCUGUUGCUGAUUGGAGGUGACAGAUGGUACCUGUUGCUGAUUGGAGGUGACAGAUAUUCCGUAAAACUAGUCAACGUACGCGCAAGUUGAUUCGAAUACCACGAUUAUCGAAAAAAAAAAAAGAAAUUCUUUCUUGCUAUACAAAUAAGAGAAAACAACUAUUUUAUUAUUUUAGUACAUUAUUACGUAUUUAAGUAAUUCAACCUUUUUAAUUUUGGAGUUCUUUUUUUUAUUUCAAUAAUAAUAUCAAUUAAUGGGAAAUAAUUAAUUUCUUGCUUCCCAAUCCUUGUUAGCAUAGGACUCAUCAUAUAAUUAUUUGCUAUAUAUAUUUGGUUCUUUGUUCUCCACUCAAAACGUAUUAUUAUUAUACUUCUUGUUUUCAUCUAAUUAAUUAAAUUGCUCACUUUAAUUUCUUCUUUGCAAAAAAGAAGAAUAAUUAGCAUGGCAAUUUAUAAUACUUCUGAUGAACAGACACAAUAUUUAGAAGAUGUAAUUGAUGAACAGGCAGAAUAUUUAGAAGAUGUAAUUGAAAGUCAGGUACUACUAAUCUUUAAUUGCCUUUUUUAAUUAGGUUUUCUAGUUUUUUGUUGCAACUUACCGACAAUAUGACCUUAGAGAGAAGCGUGUAGAGGAUACGGGUAGAAGAUUAGUAGGAAGGAGAACUAAUGAUAUGAUCUUAGACAGGAACGCAUGAAGGACACGGGUAGAAUAGAAGGCUGGUAGGAAGGAGCACACGUGUUAUCUAACAUGUGGAGAUGCUGGGAGAAGGUUGAUAGGAAAGAGCACCGACGUUAUGACCUUUGACAGAAAUGUGUGGAGGAUGAGGGUAGAAGGUUAGUAGGAAAGAGCGAGCACCAAUGAUAUGACCUUAGAGAGAAAGGUGUGGAGGACGCAAGUAGAAGGAUAGUAGGAAGGGGUGCGUCCAUGCUAGCAGAGGCGGACUUACGUUAACUCGACGCGGAAUGAAUAUAAUUACAUAAAAAAAUAUACGAAAAUAGGUAUAAAACAUAUAAAAGCACCCACUAAAAUCAGAUGUGUCAGGUUCGAACCUCGUUGAGGUGAUUUUUUAUUUAUUUACUUUUUAAUCUUUUAAGCAUCCACGAUCCUUAAUCUUGGGUCCAUACCACUGCAUACUAGUAUAGCUAGGAGUGUUUUGUUUUGUUGGGUAGUCGUAGUGCUACGUUUAUAGUUUCUUGUUCUUGAGGUUUUUGCCGUAACAUGACUCAAAUUUGCGGGGGUCUUAUGAUUCCUUCGACUAUUUAUUAUUGUAUUUCUAUGGCGUAUAUUUGUCUAGCUGGACCACUGUGAUACACGUCCACUGGCGUGUAAGCGUCUGAAGUGGUCCAACCGGACAAAUAUAUGCAACAGAAAUACGUUAACAAAUAAUCGAGGGGAGUAUAGACCCCACAAAAUUGAGGCGUGUUAGAACAAAUUUUGUCAAAGUUUAGGUAUAUUUCUGACUCUUUUUCGAUACUUUUAUAACCUUUUUUAAAAGAAAUUCUUUGGAUGUUGAAUACUAAUUUUUUUUUUUUUUUUUUUGAAAAUUUGUAGGUUUUUUAUUUGAUGAACAAUUGUGGACGGGAAAUUCCAUGUGGGAUAAUGAAAAUUGAUGAGAAUUCUGAAGUUUUUGGUCAAGCAAAAAAAGCAGCUAUUUUUGCAGUUGAUAAACACAAUAUUGAGAAAUUGGAAAAUUCAUCAAUAUUGAAAUUUAUGAAGAUUAUUAAUAUUAAUUUUGAACCUACUGCUGGUGCAAUUUAUUACAUAACUUUUGCAGCUAUGGAUUAUUCUUCUGGAAAUAUUUUUCAUUAUCAAGCUAAAGUAUGGGAAAAAAUCAACACUGGUUACAAAGUUGAGAUGUUUCAACUUGCUCCUUAUGUGCCAAAAUUCUCAGGUAAUUAUUAAUAAUAUAUAUAUAUAUAUAUAUAUAUAUAUAUAUAUUAACUUGGCUUCGAUCAGCAUUUGUAUCCUCCAACUUUGAGUGUACAUGUCCUACUUGGCGUCUCACGUGAAUAGCCACGUAAGAUGCGUGUGUAUACUUAACUUUAGGGCGUGUGUCGGUGUGUGUAUACUGGCUUCGAUCGGCAUUUGUAUCCUCCAACUUUGAGUGUACAUGUUCUACUUGGCGUCUCACGUGAAUAGCCACGUCGGAUGUGUGUAUAUACUUGUUCAACUUUAGGACGUGUGUAUACUGGCUUCGAUCGGCAUUUGUAUCCUCUAACUUUGAGUGUACAUGUUCUACUUGGCGUCUCACGUGAAUAGCCACGUCGGAUGCGUGUAUAUACUUGUUCAACUUUAGGACAUGUGUGUAUACUGGCUUCGAUCAACACUUGUAUCCUCCAACUUUGAGUGUACAUGUCCUACUUGACGUCUUACAUGAAUAGCCAUGUAGGAUGCAUGUGUAUACUUGUUCAACUUUAGGACAUAUGCGUAUAGUUAUUCAACUUUAUACAAGUUUAAUUAUCUCGUUGUGCGAGCCCAAAAUUGGAGGAUAUAGAUGUUAACGGAGACCAAGUUAAAAGGCGUAUUAUGUAUUAUGCCUAUUUUUUUUUUAUUUUCUACUGCUCGGUAUUCGGUACCUGAUAUGGAAUCCGACUAUUUCAAAUUGAUGUUUUCCUACCAAAGACGAUUUUAUAUUAGGGCUCGAACAAAAACUUUUGAUUAAAAAUGAAGGAAUACUUAUGGCUCCACCGUAUUGAAUUUUCUUUUUAAAAAUAAAAAAUUAUUUAAAACCAUAUGGCAUUUUCUUAUGAUCCUCUAACAAUUUUGUUUUUUUACUGCAGAAAGUGAGGAAGAGAAUAAUUUCUGUAUUAAGGUUAAUAAUUUGCAGGAGUGGAUGGAUGAAAAUUAUCUUUAUUACAAGUGCUGCUACAAAUUCAAAAAGGUACUUAUAAUUUUUUUAAAAACUAAUUUCUGUUGUAUCUUUCUUCAUAUUCAUAUAUUGAUUUUUCGACUGUUUAUCGAAAAUAACUAAAUAUACGAUCUUUGUAUUAUACUCGAUAUGUUAUUGUAUUCAUAUACUAUUUUAUCGAGAGUCUAUCGAAAAUAACCUCUCUACCUCUAAGGUAGUGGUACGAUCUGCAUACACCCUAUCCUCCCAGACCUCACUAUGUAGGAAUACAUGGGAUAUUUUGCUAUUUUUGUAUAUUCAUAUAUUAAUUUUUUGAGGGUGUAUCGGAAACAAUCUCUCUACCUCUAACAUAGUGGUACGGUCUUGGUGCAUUCUAUCCUCCAUUGAUCCUACUUUGUGGAAUUAUACUCAGUAUAUUAUUGUUGUUGUAUUCAUAUAUUAUUUUAUCGAGAGUCUAUCGGAAACAACCUCUGUACCUCUAAGAUAGUGGUACAAUCUUGAUGCAUUCGAUCCUCCUUUGAUCCUACUUUAUGAAAUUAUACUCGAUAUGUUGCUGCUGUUGUUUUAUUUAUAUAUUAUUUCAUCGAGAGUCUAUCGGAAACAACAUCUCUACCUCUAAGAUAGUGGUACGAUCUUGGUGCAUUUUAUCCUCGUGUGAUCCUACUUUGUAGAAUUAUACUCGGUAUGUUGUUGUUGUUGUUGUAUUCAUAUAUUAUUUUAUCGAGAGUCUAUCGAAAACAACCUCUACCUCUAAGAUAAUGGUACGGUCUGCGUAAACUUUACCCUCCUCAGACCCCGACAUUUAGCAAUAUACACCAUAUAUGUUGCUGUUUUUGUAAAUUCAUAUAUUAUUUUCAGACUUGCAAGUACAAUAAUUAUAUAAAUUUUCUAAUGUAAAUUUUUAUUAAUUAACUAAUAUUUUUUUAUUAUUAUUUUCAGUUUGUUUCUGUGGAGGUGAUUAGAGAUGAAGAAACUGGAAAAUCAAUGGGAUAUGGUUUUCUUAAUUUCAAAAAUAAUUCAGCAGCAAUGGAAUUUUCAGAGAGAAAUGAAGAAAAGCAAAUGCCAUAUUCCAACCAAAUUUACUCAUUGUUCUUUGGAAAAAAAUAAUUUUUAUUAAAGGAUUAUGUUUUCAUAUAUAUAUUAAUCAUUUAUUGAUGACUAAAUUUGUAGCUAAUUUUAUUUUUGAUAAUUAUGAAUUUCGAAUUUUACAUUAAUUUGCCCUUAAAGAUUUGUCGAUUAUAUAAAAUAGAGAAACACAUAUAUAUACAUAAAAGAAAAACAAUUCAAUUUAAGGGAAAUCGAAAUAUACUAAUUUUGCAUGAGAAAGUUUUACAAUAUCUUUAUUUAUUUUUGUUUUUCAUUUUUCCAAAUUAAUAAAAAGCAUAGCAUAAGUACAAGAAAAUAAAUAGACACACAAACUUGGCCUUGAUCUUAAGUUGCAUCACGGCAAAUUCUAGCUGUUGGAUUUGAGACACAAACUUGAAAGUACUUCUUCUUGGCUUCCGGUGAGCCGCGCUUCGGCUCAGGUUCAUCAGCCAGGGCGGCCCCUGCUACUGAACAUGCAGCAGCGGCCGCCAUGCCAAAGAACAACUCCCUACGACCACCGACGUUGUUGAUCUCUUUUUUAUUGAUCAUAACGAUAUUUUCACCCUCAGACAUGUUAGAGCUAGCCUUAACCAUGACAACCCUAGGGCGUGUCGCGGCUGGGGCUCUAGCCAGGGCCGCGACCGAGCCGCCGGAGGCCAAUGAGGUUGUCAUUGUCAUAGAAGCCAUUAGAUCAACUCAAUUGGACUAGCUAGUUGAUUUCUCUUGUUGCAAAGAGAAAUGGUUUGGUGUGUGUUAAAAAUAAAUGUCAAUUGCCAUUGGAAUGUCUUAUCCAUUUUCUUAUCUACACUUAGUGUUGAUAGCCAAUGAACUUUUGCCACUUGGCAAUCUCAAUCUUGAUUUUGUAAAAAAUAUUUGUGGAUGAUUUUGUCCCAAAUUGUCUUUUCAUGUUUUUUUGGCUCUUCAAAUAUUCAUUGGUUACUAAUAUUAAAGUUUAUUCAACCAUUUAUCCAUUGAUUAUUUUGCCUAUUGAAGAGUAAAAAUUGUAAACAAUAAAGUUGCAUAUAAUAAGCUCUUGUAGUUCGAUUUUUUUUUCUUGAUCCCACGCAUAGUAGGAGCUUUAGUGAUGGGGCUGCCUUUUUAGUUACUCCAACUAUAGUAAAGAGAUAAGCAUCCAGUACCCCCUCUAACUAUGCCUUAAGUUGCUACGACACACUCCAAUUUCACAUGGAUCUUAUAAUCUCUGAACUCAAUUUUAGCAUAUUUUUAUCACUUUUGUGUUGACAUAACACCUUUAUUACAUAAAAAUAGGAUCCACGUCAAAGGUGCCACUUCAGCUAAAAAGGGUGAUAAAAAUACACUAAAAUUGAAUUCAGGGGUAAUAGGAUCCUUGUAAAAUCGGAGUGUCGUAGCAACUUAAGGCAUAGUUUGAGGGGGUACUGAAUGCUUUACUCUAAAGUAAAAGAAUUCAUAGCCUACCUAAGGUACAGUUGCGUACUACAAUAGACCCUUCUGGUCCGGUCCUUCUCCUGUCUCCACGCGUUGUGGGAGCUUUAGUGCAUCGAGCUAUUCUUUUAGCUACUCCGACUACAGUAAAGAAUUCAAAGCCCCAUAUAGAUCGGCCCCAUUAGGCCGAUCUAAAAGCUGGCAUAUACGUUCAGCAGAACUCAAUCGUUGUAGCUCAAAUCCUGUAUUUCGUACUAAGAAAUUCACUAAAUAUGUACAGGAACAACCGCGAAAGCAACAACACGCGAAUGAAUCAAACUAUACUGUCUAAAUUCGUCUAACUUGAUCAUCCCAUUCAACGCGUAUGUUACCUUCCUCAUACUCGAAUGACUACCUGUUGAGUCGCGGUUUUACACUCUCCCCGAUGAACUGUUCCAGCUGAUCAGAGAUUUCAACGGGCAAACCAGAAGCCUCGACAACAAUUACUUUGUUACUGCAUCGCGAAAAUACAAAUGGUUCUCUAGGUACUGCACUUCUUGAUGUACGAAGCUUGUCUCUGAACAUCGAAAGUAAAACAAACACGAACACAUUCAGAAGACAGAAAAUUUCGCGGUUCUAACAGAAUGUUAACGCAGUUUUAGAUGAGUUCAUCGACACAAGGUAUGACGCUGUCCUGAUAAGAGGACGUGUUUUGGAUAGAUGCAGAGCCAGGAUUUGGAGUUUAUGGGUUCGGGGUUCUAAUCUUUUACGUUAUGGAAAAAGUAGCAGCUAACUAUGUAGCUACAACGACAACUUACCCGGUGUAGUCCCACAAAAUGUGGUCUCCCAAUUAAGGGUAGAGCGGACGCAGACCUUACUCCUACCUCAGAGGUGGAGAGGUUGUUUCCGAGUAGCUAGAUCCUUGGCUCACGAAAAACAAGUCCAAAGAAAGAAACAACAGAUAAUAACAAAACAACAGAUAGUAACAUAACAAAUAUGAUAAUCGAGGUAUAAGCAAUCAACAGAUAGUAACAGAAAUUGAACGACGAGUCAAAAAAAGGUGAGUAUAGAGUGAUCUUACAUUUCCUUCUCGAGCUAUUCCCUUAUGAACUCUUUUGUAUGUGCAGUUGUUUUAUCGACCUUGUUGCACAGUAGAAGUACUGGAAUCUUUUUCUUGACCACGGUUUCUUUCGUCAGUAUUUCAUACAGGUACCUUUUACGCGAAGUUAACAUGUUAGAAUCAGUUAUCAAGAAUAUAAUCUAUAUGGAGAUCGAUGAAUAGCAAAGCGCAAGUACUCUGCAGUAGGAUGAGUGUGGUAAAAAUUUCUCCGAAUCCACCAGGAACACAAUGCCUGCUGCUUGAGGCGAAAACUUAUCUAGUUUUGGACAUAUACGAGAAUGCAAUGGAACAUCAGCAACGCGAACAGGUCUGUUUUUUCUCUUCUGCGGCCAAAUAGAAACAGGUUCAAUGAGCUGAAUUUCGAUGUCCAUUUGCAGAAAAAACAAUGAAAGACGACAGAGGUGGUUGUUAGUACCUUGUAUGUCUCAGCGCGUAGUAUAAAACUGUCUUCAUUUGGUUCCAUCGAUGUCACGGUACCCUGAUGAGCUGAGCCAUCACUAAGCUGUAACAUUCAGCGAAAAGUAUGAAAGUCACCUAACCUCUUUAACGAGUUCAAGAAGUCCUCAAUCAUUGAUAUAAUGGCAAUUACCUUCUCGAAAAGGAAAGUUUUGCCGCUACCACCAAGCCCAGCGAGUAAAAUCGUACUAGAUGGUGUAUGUUUAAAAAUGCACACUGCAAAAAACAGCAGCGUUGAUUAAGGAUCACUAAAGCGAACAAAAGUGACAUACAUGAUUCAGUCGUAGAAGUAUAGUUAAACGUAAAACAACUAUACUAUAAGUCCCCCAUACCGCGCAAAUAGGACAGCGGAGAACAAGGUCUUGUAAGUCAAGGAUGAUCAUAAUUCAAUGGCAUGUAGUUCUUUUCAAUCUCUAGUUCUCCAUGAAUCCUUCGUUGAGGAGUGACUCACCGAUUAUCUCCUUCAUCCCGGCUGCUGAUAUCCAUGACGCAUACUACAGCUGCUAAUGGUUUUAUCAGCAUCACAAUUAUACACCGCAUACUGUUUCCUCUGACACAAUCCACUACACAACUAUAGCCAACACACUCCGUUGCACACUCUUAGACGGAGGACAUCUACUCAUCGGAAAUACAAAAAAUGUUCAUCCUAGCAGAACGAUCACAUGACUUGUCUCUAUAACGGAAAAGAAAGAACAAAUCUUCAUUGGUUUUGUACAUAGCUUAGCACCCGCUAUGAACAUCAUAUACUUUUUUUCCAUCAACUCUUUAUCAUCCAGCAACGUAUCCAGUGUGUAAAACAAUUUCAAAACAUGUCAAAAUGCAUGAUUAAGGAACUAGAGAUUGAAACGGUAGAAGGAAACAGUAGCCAUCGAUAACCUUCUUGGUUUUGCUGUCUUCGUUGAUGAUGUACAUUUGUUCAGGAAAUCUUAUAAAGAACCAGCACCAGAAGCAGCAAAGCACCUAAUGACUUAAGAAAGACGAUUUGCUGGACAGAAGCACGAUGAAGUUCAGACGAUUUUGGGGCAUUAAGUCGAGCAAUAUUGAUUCUGAUGUAAAUAUAAAUAGCAUGCUGAACAAUGGAAAACAUCCGGUGCUCAAAAUUAGCGCGGCCAAGGCUUUAGAUAGGUUGAAAUUCCAAAGAAGGUCCCUAAGACCCCGUUAUAUCCUAUUGACAAAACAACAACAUCAACUACUACGCUGAGACCCUAAAGCAAGUCGAGGAUGUAGCACAAUGACUUUCCUAUGUGUUCCAAGCCGGGCCUAAAUGGAUGAAUGAAGAAGCACGCCCGGUAGAAUUCAACAGCUCUUGCUAUAUGUCUGUCCUACUUCUUAUUCUGGGGGUCAUAGAAUGAUACGAACCGCCUACUCUUUAAAGACCUAGCAUUAGUUUGUAGAAAAUGAAAGCAUCUAUCAAUUCCUCCGCUUCUGUUACCUACUUUUACUCAUUUCUUCGGUAUAACUCUAUACAAUACAAGCGUAGGAAAGGAUAAACAAUCAAAACCGGGCUAUCACCAUAUAUAAGCAGAUGCAACAAGCUCAAACAUAAAACCAUUUACUAGUGUCUGGGCCAGCUUUCGCACCACAACUAAAUCCGCGGUAACAGAUAUGAGGUAAUUAGUCGAGGUGCCCGCAAGUUGGAGGACCAAACACCACAGUUAUCAAAGAAUGGAACAUUUCAUUUACAAAUGUGAAAUAGUUGAGCAAUUUAAACAUAUAAAAUAUGUGUAUAUAUACACAUCGUUUGACAGAAUCCAAUAGCUUUAGCUCAAACACUGUAUUUGUGUUAAAAAGAUUCAUUCAACAUGUCGACAGAAACAAUGUCGGUAUAUAACACAUCGAAAGUCAUUCAAGUGUUUGAAAACGAAUAUUUUUGCAUAACCGUGGCGUCCUGGUCAGCUUUCAUGCACCUCGACUAAAUUCACGAGAUACCUGCCACCUCACAUUAACAACAUCUAUCAUAUAACUCUGUCCACCAUGCAGUGAGCUCGUAGCGAACUACUCUUUCGCCUUUUGAAAAAAAAUAUAUCAACCAGAAGCUUUCGACUCGACCUAUAACCAUGACGUCUCAAGUUCCAAUCCAACAUAGACAAAAACACGAUUUCUUCCCUAUCCGUCCUAGCCUUGGUGGAUAAAGUUUGCCAGUACAUGUUACCGGUGGCAGGUAUCACGUGGAAUUAGUCGAGGACUCGAGGUGCAUGCAAGCUGGUUCGAUUCGACCUAUAACCAUGACGUUUCAGGUUCAAAUCCAACAUAGACAAAAACACGAUUUCUUCCCAUCUGUCCUAGCCUUGGUGGACAAAGUUCGUUGGUAUAUGUUACCGGUGGCAUAUAUCACAUGGAGUUACUCAAGGUGCACACAAGCUGAUUCGGACAACACAGUUAUUAUCCCAAAAACAAAAAUUCGGGCAUUUCAUAUACAAAUGUGAAUUAGUUGAGCAAUUUAAACAUAUAAAAUAUGUAUGUAUACACACCCAAUGCUAGUUACGAGUUCGACAGAAUCCAAUAGCUUUAAAUCAAACACUGUAUACACGAAGGACUCUAGAUGACCUUCGUAACAUGUAUAAUUUUGUUUACUAAUAGUUCGUAGUAAACAAUUUAAAACAAAAAUCUCAACGUAACUACAGUUUAGCAACUAAAUAUACAAAUUAGAGAUUGUACAUAUAAUACAAAUUCGCUUUAUAAAUUUGUAUAUGAUUUUCGAAAGUCGCUUUGUGUACAAAUGCAAAUGUUUAGAGAUUUGUAUAUGAGCUUCGAAAUUCGUUUUGUAUGCAAAUACAAACGUAUAAGAGCCCCUAUAUGAGCCUGAAAUAUACAAAUACAAAAUAAAAUGUAUAUUUAACAAUUUAAUCUCAACCUUAAGAUAAUUAUUUUAAACAUUAACUACGUCUAAUAACUUAUGACUCGAUGUUUUCGAAUAGGCCCAUUAGUCAUCUAAAUCUUUUUUCUUUUUUUCGAUUUGUUCUUCGAUGUUCGGUAUCCACAUCGAAGUCUAACUAAUAUAUAUUCACGUCACAUAGGGCCGAUUUGUUAAAAAAUGAUCUCUAUCUCAUAACUCGAAUUCGAGAUCUCUUAGUAUGUGACUUAUAAGAAUUAAUUAAAAAAAAUGGUACUAAUUGAUUGAAAAGAAAAAUGUGCCAUGAGUGUAUAUAACUAAAUCUUUUUUAUAAAUUUAUAUAUUUGAUUUACAUUACUUAUAAUUUUUGCUUGCAAGACAGAAUCAGAGAUCUUUAUUAGUACUACUAUCUUAAAUAGGAAAAUUUUAGAACUAAUUUUAUCAAGAAAAUAAAUUAACACUCUUUAGUUCUUACUAAUAUAUUUUCCAUAUUUUUCUACCGUAAUUUAAUUAUGGUCAUUCUUUUUGCAAUCACUAUAAAACCAAUUCCCGAAUUCUAUUUUUGGUUUAAAAAAAAAAAAAGAGAAAAGAAUAUAUAUGUCAAAUAAACCAUACAAAUAUUUACAAUUAUAUGUAACUUGGAGAAAAAAAGAUUAAAAUUGAACCCCUAUAUAACAACUUACAAAAAUAACUUCAUAGAAUAAUUUUAAAAAAAAUCAUAAAUAUUUUCUUCUUGUGGUAUAUUCUUCACUUCCCAUCUAUAUUUAGCAAGUAAAAAUUUUCCUUCGAUUUACCAUUCAUUCAAAGUCACCAAAAAUAAAUAAAAUUACCUCAUAACUUAUUCGAUUUCGUAAAUAACUUUUACACCAGGACAUCGGAUAUGACAAAAAUUUUCGUCAAAGUUUAAAUACAUUUCAGACCAUUUUCCCCAAAUAACUAUAAAACCAAUUCUCGAAUUCUAUUUUUGGUAUAAAAAAAAGAGAGAGAAAAGAUUAUAUAUGUCAAAUAAACCAUACAAAUAUUUACAAUUAUAUGGAACUUGGAAAAAAGAUUCAAAUUUAACCCAAAUCUCGAAUUUAUUGUUUACCAUAUGUAUGUAACAAACUCACAAAAUAACUCCAUAAAAUAAUAAAAUUAUAAAUAUUCUACUUUUGGUAAUUCUUCACUUCCCAUCUAUAUUUAGCAAGUAAAAAUUUUCUCUUUAUUUACCAUUCAUUCAACAUUACCAAAAAUAAAUAAAAUUACCUUAUAGUAACUUAUUCUAUUUCAUAAAUCCCGAAUUUAUAUUUUACCAUAUGUAACAAAUCACAAAAUAAAACCAUAAAAUAAUAAAAUUACAAAUACUCUACUUCUGUUAAUUCUUCACUUUCCAUCUAUAUUUAACAAGUAAAAAUUUUCUCUUUAUUUACCAUUCAUUCAACAUUACCAAAAACAAAUAAAAAUUGAGUUUAAGUUUGGUGCACCGUCGGUUUAUCUUUUUCUUACACCAUCAGGUGACUUUUACCUGUUGUAGCAGGUCAUCCAUGUCUGCUACAACAGGUAAAAGUAAGUUGAUGGUCUAAAAAAAAAGAUACACCGAUUGUGCACCAAACUUAAAUUCAUAAAAAUUACCUUAUAAUAACCUAUUCGAUUUCAUAAAUAUUUUUUACACCAUCAGAUCACCUCGACCUAUAUAUAGUCCCAUGCACAUCUCCUCCAACACACACACACACACACAACUAUUCAAUAUUCUUGUGUAUAUCAUCACCACAAGAAUAUAAUAUUUUCCCGACCCCUAAACUCUGAACCCUGAAUUAUCAGGGACCAUGGAUGAAGGCUUGUUUUUCGUCGGUGGGUUCGGAAUUUUAUUUCUCUUUGCGGUUAUUAUAAAGUGGAUGAAUUCACCACCAACAGCAGUAGCAGCAGCAGCACAAAGUUCAAAUCAUAUGACAUUAUUUUGUAUUGCAGUAUUUGUUAUUGUUAUGUUUUUAUCUUUUGCUAAAAUACCACAAGGUGAAGAUAAAAAAAAGGAAAAUUAGUUUGGUUAAUUUCUCUUUAGUAAUAAAUAAGUUUAGUUAAUUUUGAUACGUUAGAGAAAAAUUAGUUUUUUUUUUUCUUUUUAGUUUGAAGUUUGUUUUAGUUAAUUUAUGAUCUGCAUGCAUGCAGAUUAGUAUUGGUGAUGGAAUAUUUUGUCUUAGUUUUUUUUUUAAAUGGAAUAAAGUUUAAUUUUUUUUGUUUUUAUAAUUAGUUUAUGCACUUGUUAAUGUUAUGUUUAUUUAUAUUACAUUUUUUUCGUUAUUUAUACUAUGUUUCGAGAGUCAAAUCUUUUGAUUUUGAUUGUCUAUUCUCACAUGGAAUCCUUAAGUUUUUUGAGAUUAAGAAAAAUUGGUAACUGUUCAACGAGGAAUAUGAUCUAAGUCACAAUUAUUAACAACUCAAAAUAAUUAAAAGAUAUAAAAAAUCACGAUCAAAGAUAAAUCUCGAAAUAUGAAAUAUAUUACAUGAAUUGAUACAAAGGAACUCGUAUAUAUAUUAUUUAUGUAGCCAAGUUAUAUUGGAUAUAGCAGAGGUGGAUUUUAACACAUUUAAUAUAUGAGUUUACGUGAAUCUUAAUUAGUAUAUUUUAUUUAUAAAUAUUUAAUUUGAACCUAUAGUCAAAGUAAACUCAUAAUUUAAAGUUUAUGAAUUUUCAGUAAAAAUUUAUUAAAAGGGGAAACGAACCCCCACCAAGGAACGCAAUAAAGCUUAAGUUGUUCUACUAUUUUUUACGUUGGACUCCAGCGAUGGCGGAGCUAGCAUUUUUACCGAGGGGUUUUGUGAAGAAGUAAACAUACAAAUAAAUUAACGGGGUUCAAUUAUAUCUACUACUAUAAACCAAAAAAGUAAUUUUAACCAUAUAUAUUAAUAGUGUUUUUUUCCGCCAAAGAAGGUUCGGAUGAACCCAACAUGAAUAGUUUUUAUAUAUUUAAUUAAUUUCUCAAUAAAAAUAUUACUCUGUUCUUGUGAACCCGCACCCAAUACCUAGAUCCGCCCAGUGGCGUAGGUAGAAUUUUCGCUAAAGGGGUUCAUUAGUAAACAUACGAACUAACCGAAGGAGGUUCAACAUCUACUAUAUAUACAUAAAAAAUAAUUUUAAUUAUGUAUAUAUAUAGCAUAAUUUUUCGACGGGACGAACCCCCUACUUGAAAGCUCUGCCCCUGGAUCCACCCCUGAUAACCUCGUAUUUUAAGUUGCAAUUUUUUCUCAUAUCAAUAUUUUUCUUCAAAAAAAAAAAACUACAAUUUAAAAUGUUGAUCAAAUUAGUUUGAAUCAUUUGACGCUGAAAAAAAGAAAAUUACAACAACUAAACAGAAACGAAUAUAGUAUAAAAUAACUCAUUAAAAUAACAUAAAACAAUUGUAAUAUAAGUUAUACGUAUAAUAAUUUUCUUUAUUUUGGUAAUUCUCCACUAUACUUCCCAACUCCCAUCUACAAUUCUGCAUUUGUUAAACUCUCGAUUUACCAUUUAUUCAACGUUACCAAAAAUAAAUAAACAUUGCCUUGGAACAUAUUCGAUUUUAUAAAUAUUUUUUACACCAUCAGUACACCCCGACUACUCUAACCUCCUCUUAUAUAUAUAUACUACCAUGCACAACUCCUCCAACACACAAAACACAAUUCAACAUUCUUGUUUUCCAUCACCAAAACUAUUUUUCGACCCUGAACCCUGAAUCUUGAACCCUGAACGCUCGCUCUGAAGCCAUGGGCGAUGUAUCAUUGUUUUUCGUGUGCGCGUUCAGGUUGUGUGUGUUGUUAGUUGCUAUUAUCAAAUGGAUAUUUGCAACACCAGCAGUUGCAGCUGUUGCAGUAGGCUCAACAACAAGCUCAAUGCCAAUACUUUUAUUAGGUUUACUUAUUAUUAUUCUUAUUACUUUUUGUUGCUAAAUUUUAAUUUAGAUUGUAAUAAUCAGUUUAUUUUUGAGAUCUUAUAGAGAGCAAAAUUAGGUAGUUUUUUUAAUUUUUUUUUUGAAAGAGAUUGUUUAGUUAGUUAAUUUAGCUGCAAGCAUGCAGACUAUAUAGUAUUGGUGUUGGAUUAUUUCUCUUAUUCUCUUCUCAAAUAAUGAAGUAAUUUUUUUUUGGUAUUUAGUUAAUGCAUUUGUUGUUAUGUUUAGAGUAAAUAUCUAAUUACCCACUGAUGUUGGCCGAGAUUUUCAAAAAGACACCUAAACUUUGAAUUCGAUCCAUUACCCCACGAUUCUUACUUAAUCCGUUGCAAACACACCAUUUUUCGCUGAAUCUCAGUCACAACAAGGAGAGUGAAAUACGCACGCCAAUCAGGUGCUGCCACAUGUCAAAUACGAUUAAUUUAUAUUUUUUUUUAUUUUUUAAUAAAAUUUUACUUUUUAUUUAAUUUAACACCCCACCCCCUCUCUCCCCCAAACACCCCCCACCUCCGUCACCAUUCUCUCUCUCCGUCCAUUUUUUUUUCAAAUCAAUUCAAAAAUUAUGAUUGAAUUAAGAGUUUUAAAGAUAGUUAAAUGAUAUGAUUUAACUGAAAAAUUGAGCUUUAAUGAUAUGAUUUAAAAAAAAAAAAAACUUCAAUGGAGAAGCUUUAAUGGUGACAUUGUGUUGAAGAGCUUUAAUGGUGUUGAAGAAGAAAUGGUGGGUAGUUAAAUGAUAUGAUUUAGUUAUAAAAGGGAGCUUUAAUGAAUGAUUUAGAAAAAAAAAAGCUUCAAUGGAAGCUUUUUUCUUUUUGCUAAAUAAAUUUUAUUUAUUACCAAGUAAGCAGUACAAAGCAGAAUUACUCCAUACUGGACAUUUCCCAAUAUGCAAUAGCCACAUUCUUCCAGCUACCUAGCUACUUUGCUACACAAGUUCAAACUAUCAUGCUACCAGGCCUUCUAGAUACAAGGGUAGUAGUUAACUCUAAGCAGUGCAUUUUGCAUUCUGGGUUCUCUGCUGCCCCUCGCAUGAAGGUCUUGGAUAACCAUCCUCACAAGUACCUUAAGCUCCCUAGAUUUUGCCUGGAAAAUUCUCAGGUUCCUUUCCUGCCAAAUGACAUAAACACAGGCAGCUAAACUUGCUCUAUAGAGCAUAGCCUGCGGUUGUUUGCCUCUACAAUGAUUUAUCACCCACGUUACUUCCUCCUCCCAUUUAGCAGGGGACCUUCCCACUCCUUUCCAUAAAAGAACCAGGUUCUAUAGGUGCGCAGAGAAAGUACAUUGAAAAAAUAAAUGACUAAUACUUUCAGGAUCACUUCCACAUAACACACACAUCUCAUCUUCAAUACAUCCCCACUUUACUAGUCUAUCUUUGGUUAGUAAUUUACCAAGCAAUCCCAAAUAAAGGAUGAAAAUCCAUUUAGGACAAGCUGUAGUAUUGCAUAUCAAUCUCCUCCACUCCACCUUCUGAUAUUCUCCUCUUAGCUUCUGAUAUAGACUCUUUAUCGAAAAUCUCUCAAUCUAUUGCACUGCUAGCUCAGUCCAUCCAGCUGCUUCAAAGGUUUUAGUUGCCUGCAUUAUUUUCCUCACAAGCCACAAUGCCUGAGGAGCUUGAAUCCCCCAUGUUGUUCCCUGUUUCCCAUAAUAUAAGUGAACUCACUUCACCCAUAAUCUAUCUUUCUUCUUGCAUAAGUUCCAUAGAAGUUUGUUGAUUGCUGCUCUAUUCCAUGUCUGAAUAUCACGAAAGUUCAGACCCCUGCUGCAUAAGGCCUACAUAACUGUUCCCAAGCAACCAGAGCUUUUUUAGAUAUGUCAACUCUUCCAGACCACAAAAAUUUUCUGCAUAAAGCUUCAAUACACUUAACAACUUUUUUGGGCAUAAUGAAUAUCUGAGACCAGAACACUUGGACAAAGAAUAAUACACUUUUGAUGAGUUGAGCUCUGCCAGCAUAGGAUAGUAAUCUAGAAGUCCAACUCACAAUUUUCCCCAUAAUCUUGUCAAUUAAAGGUUGGUAUUGUAGGAUAGACACUUUUUUGGUACUUAGUGGCACUCCUAAGUACCUAAAAGGUAAACUACUCUGUACAAAUUUAAAACUCUGUAAUACCUCUGUCUGAACCUCUCUUGGGACUCCACCAGAAUAUAUGGAGCUCUUCUCAUUGUUUACAACCAAUCCUGAUAUUUGUGAGAACUCCAUGAAUACUUCAUAUAAUAAUCUAACUGAUAAUGCAUCUCCUCUGCUGAAUAGUAGUAAAUCAUCUGCAAAUCUUAAUUGGAUAAUUUGAAGUCUCUCACAUUUUAGGUGGUAAUUAAAAUCAGGAAUACCCCUCAGUUUCUUCAGCAGCCUAGAUAGAUAUUUCAUUGUCAACACAAACAGGUAUGGGGAUAAUGGAUCCCCCUGUCUCAAUCUUUUCUUGGCAGAAAAAGGAACACUGGGACGACCAUUUAUCAGGAUGGAAUAUGAUACAGUACUAAUACACUGAUGGGAAUUGCAGUAGCUCUAAAACCUGUCUCAGGUACCCCCAUUCAACCGAGUCAUAAGCUUUCUUCAUAUCUACUUUUAACAUACAUCUUGGGGAAAUCUGUUUUCUACCAUAGCCUUUGACUAAUUUAUUGCUCUAUAUAAUAUUAUCAUUUAUCAGUCUUCCAGGUACAAAAGCAGAUUGAUUUUGGUCUACUAAAUCAUUCAUAACCCCUGUAGUCUAUUUGUAAGAAUCUUAGCAAUAAUUUUAUAGAGCAAAGUACAGCAAGAGAUAGGUCUAUAUUCAGUUAUUCUUGAUAGUCUAGCUGUUUUUGGCACUAAGGUCACAAUAGUACAAUUUAUGACUUUGUACAUUCUACCUAAGUUGAAGAACUCCAGGACUGCAUCUGUGAUCUCUUUCCCCACGAUGUGCCAUGACUGCUUGAAGAACAGGGCAUUGAAUCCAUCACAUCCUAGUGCUUUAUCAUCCCUUAUCCCCUGCAGAGCAUCCCUAACUUCUUGUCGUAAUACAGGCUCAACUAAAUGAAGUUGUUGAGCUCUAUUUAGAGUUGGACCAUUCCUCAUAACCACUGGAUUCACAGCAGGUAAACUAUUAGCACUAGUUCCCAAUAGUUGUUUAUAGAAAUUCAGGAUCUCUCUUUCUAUGUCAGAUCUCUUAGUCACCACCACUCCUUCGUUUGUAUUCAGACUUGUAAUACCAUUCUGAGCAUAUCUAUUCUUUAAGCAAGCGUGAAAAUAAGCUGUAUUACCAUCCCCAAGUUGUAGCCAUUGGACCUUGGACUUCUACUUGGCAAUACUCUUUUCCACCAAAAUCCACUUCUCUAGUUUAAUUUGAGUUCUUUCUCUUCUUCUACACUACUCAUCGGUUGUCCAGGUUGCUUCAUAGUGCUUUGUAAAUCUAUCAGCUUCUGUCUACACUCUUUGAUUUUGUCGUCCACUCCUCUAAACUCAGUAUUAUGCAGGUUCUUUAGUGCCUGCUUCAAAGUUUGUAACUUCUUUCAUACCCCUGCCAUACUACCUUUAAUGUUGCUCCUCCCCCGAGCUGUUGCAACCACAUCAUGAAAUUUCUCAUAUUUGACAAGGUGAUUCAGGAACCUAAAUGGUUUAGGUCUCUUUUAUUCCUCUUUUGCAAGUAAAAGACUCAAGGGUGAGUGGUCUGAGCAUCCCGGGUCCAUUACCAUCACCUCAACUAUUGGCAUAUCAAACAUCCAUUUUGCAUUUACCAAUGCCCAAUCAAUCCUACUGUACGUAUGCCUAUUAGACCAUGUGUAUUCCCUACCAUUAUGCUUUAAAAUAUUCAUGCCAGUGUCUUCAAUGAAUAUGCUGAAAUCUUUGAUUUCAGCCUCAUGGAACUGCGCCCCAAUCAUUCUAUUCUCCUCCCUAUAUAUUGCAUUAAAAUCCCCCAUAGCAACCCAAGCUGCACUAUUACCAGCAUGUAUCUGUCUUAAGUCAGUCCAUAAAUGUUUUCUAGUUUCAACUGAGUUCAGCCCAUAUAUAGCAGUAAAUAAAAACUUGUAGCUCACUGCUCGAAACUGUAUUGCCACAUGAAUAUAUUGCUCUUGACUCACC
rnacentral:lncRNA from 1 species